rnacentral:lncRNA from 1 species
UUUUUUUUUCCUGUUACCUGCUUGUACGGCUACCUGAUACAUCAUCCCUAUCAUGUUUUUUUUUUUGAGAUAACAUCAUCACUAUCAUGUGAUUCAGACACGUGGUAUGCUACAACUAAUACGUGUUCCCUCGAGGAAGGCGUAAUUCGUGGACCAACGACAUGUGGGCCCCACGUGAGGAUGUGGAGUACGCCUUCAGGAGGGGAAAGCACCCCGCGCGUAAACCGCCUUGGAGCCUAGCGGUUGCUCGGCGGAGAAUUCAAAAUUCUCCCAUUUCGGCACCGCAACCGCACGUCCGCACCCCAGCACGCCCACUUGUCUCCCCGCGUCUCUGCGCGCCCAUGGCCGCCUCCGCCGAGGGCGAUCCCUCGCCGCCGCCUCGCGGGUGGCUCUCCGGCCUCGUCUCCGGCGCCGGCCGCCUCCUCGCCGCCGUCCUCGACCCGGAGUCCUCCGCCUCCGACACCACGUCCUCCUCCCCGGAGUCGUCGCAGUCGCCGCCGCGCCGCGCCCUCGCCGCUGCUGGUACUCACUCCCCCUUUCUCCCCCAACCCAAAUUCCAAAUGCCUCGUGAAAUGCUUGCGCCGUAAUUUCGUGCUGCAGUGUAGGCCGCCCUUGCGCUGCCGGUGCUCAGUGAGGCGCCCGCGUCGGCGCUGCGAUCAUCCCUAUCCGUGUACGCUCGUGUGGCGUCAUCGAUUAGUGGACAUGUUGGUGUGGGUGCUGCCGUUACCCGGCAACAGAGCGCAGUUGGGGGAAGUAGGAGCUUGAUGUGAUUAACUCGUAAUUGUGUAGUGAGCAAUGAAGUCGAUUUAGCGUGAAAAUAGAUAGGGAAUCGGGUGCUUGAGGGGUUCGGUUCAAUAUCUAGAACGCUAGGUUCUCUGCCCGGAUAACAUUUGCGUGUAUACUGAUCGGGAGAACCUUUGUAUUGAUGUUAAUGAAUUUUAAGUCGUUUUGGUUUUCUAGAAAGACAUAACGUAUAUCUAGGUGCCUAAAAAAGCCAAAAUGAAUUACAAUUUGGAAUGGAGGAAGUAUGUGUUAGGCAGGGCUUUAUUCAGAACUUCAACGCUAAGGGAAUGGUGUAGAUGAUCAUCUUGCUGUUAUGAAUGUGUACUGCAAAUCUGAUCAUCACCAGUUCCAUGACAUUGUCAAUUCAUUGUCAUUGUAUACGUUGACUAGCUUUGCAAAAGUUGCUUUCUCAAUGAUUUAGUGAGUUCCUGAUUUGUAUUUUUCUUAUCAAACAGAUGACGGUACUGGGAUGUGCGUUGCUUCUGACAGUUAUCAGUUAAACUUGGUAAAUUGGUUACUUUUGAGAACAGUUAUCAGUUAUAAAUUGUUUUCUUUGCAUUUUGGUAGUAUUGAAACAAGUAGUUCUCUUUAAGCAUGGAAGUGAUAAAUUGGUCACUUUUGAGAAAUUUGUACCAUCAAGCUAAGUGCUUUCUUAUGUUUGUAGAGUGGAAAGGAGAUCGUUUUGAAAGAUUCUGGCAAUGGAUCCUUUGCAGUUGUCUCAAAAAUAGACCCAAAAGAAGCUGUAAAGCAGUUGCUUAUGCAGGAUACUUACUCACGGUAUAUCCUGUUUCCUUGAAUUGUUUAUCUUAAAUCUUAAGAUGUGCAACCUUGUAAUCUUGUCUCUUUUGAUGUUUAAAUUUAUAUGCUAAAAAAAUGUGAGUUUCAUUUUCACUGUGUCUUAGUACUUCGUCAGUUUAUGUACAGUCUCCAUUUGGUAACUGAUUUUUUUUAGAAAUGAAAAGCUGACAAGUUUAUGACACCAAAAUUCAAGAAUGUUGUCCCAUUGUUAUAUUCUUAAGAUCUUGCAGCAUGAAAAGCAUGUCAUCGAGACAUUGACACAAAGAUCUGAAACACCCUUCUACUGAUUAUUUAUAGAGCCACUUUGCUGAAUAAGCACUUAGUUUCUUUACUGUCUUCUGUUCGUAACUGACAUUUUCUGCAAGUGAAAAGCUGACAGGUCUGUGACAAAAAAAUUCAAGACUGUUGUCCCAUUGUUUUCUCCUUAGGAUAUGGCAGAAAGAAAACCAGAAUUCAUUGACACAAAGAUCUGAAACAUGCUGUUCUACUAGUUAUUUAUAUAUAGCCAAUUCUUGAAUAGAUUGGACCAGGAUGUUUGACUUCUGACCUGUAUUUUUAAUGCUAGGUCGGAAUGUGAUGAAUUAAUAAAAAUUAUUCAAGAGCGGAUGGUAGAUUCAGACCCAGGUGUAGAUGCACCUGAAAUUGUUCUUCCCAUUGCAUGGCAUGCUAGCACUCAGCAACACCCUGUAGCAUACUCUUCAAGUCCAAACACCUCUCUCCUGGCAGCAUCGGGUAUUCCUGAUUAUACUCCAGUGUUUGACAAUACCGUUGAGGAGGAAUGGCUGAAGAGAAGUUCAACUACUACCAAAGGCCUUUGCACCAAGAAUCGUGACAGGAGUCAGCCUGUGAGUCUUCUUAUCUUGAGGAAUUAUAACUAGGUCUGGUGACCAUACCUAUCUGAAUUCAAUAGUUAUGUGUCUUCAUUAUACUUAUAUGUGCCUGGUCGAUACAUCGAAGUAAAAUAUGUUUCUAACUAGUUUCAAUGCUGCAAACACAAAAUAUGCCAUAUUGCUUAGGUUUCUGGGCUGUUACUAAUUUGUUGCUUUCUCAGUAUAAAUUUUGUUUUGGUGUAAUAACUUCUGACAGUAGCUGUAGUUUUGUGCAAUUUUAAGGACCUUGGUAGUGGGACUAAACAGUUUUCUUUCUUGUUGGUGGCAUGUCUAACAUAUUGGAUUGAGUAGACAUUGCUGCAUCUUGUUUGUUUACCGCGUCCUCAAAUCUGGAAUUAUGCAAACAGUUCUGUGCUGUUGUAAGGACCUUCUGUUGAUGCAUUGUUGUCAGCUCAAGUAAAUUGUUUACUACCUUGUUGAUGUCAUGCCUAUACAUUUCAGGCAGAGUAGAUACUUUCCUACUGUGUGUUCGAUCUUGAAGUACCCAAACAUAAUGUCACAAUCCAUUAUCCAUACGCAGCUGCAGGCCAUGAAACGAAGUUAUUCUAGCACAGGAGCUGCUUUUGAAGAGUCUCGAAGAGUCAGGCUAAAGCGAAAUGAUUGCAGCACUUCAGGAAAGAAUGACAGUAUGUCGCCGUACUUCAGCCACACUAAUUCUCUAGUUAUGUACUUAUGUGAGUAUGAGCCUCAAGUGGCUACCUUUUCCUCAUCAAAUGUUGUUUGUUUAUCUCUAGAGUGCACCGUGGGCAAUGACUCUUGUUCUGCCUCCAAACUGAUGUUUCAAGAAGACAUUGAGGGUGCACCCAGGUAUCUUGUAUGACAGUUCUUUUACUUUCAGAUGGCCAAUGUUCUGUGGCCGUGGUGGCUAGAUACAGCUGCUGGAGGCCUGGAACUUUCAGUAAAUAGUUGCUGAAUUCUGAAAUCUAAUACCAUCCAUCUGGUUCAGCUCAUCGAUGGGCUUGCAACCAGUGAACAGCUCCAAAAAUUUGAAGAGGGGAUUCAAUUUAGAGAGCAGCAUUCCAAGGAAUACAAGGUCACCUGCGACUGCCAGCAGAAGUCGUCGCUCGAAUGCCAGCAGAAGUCGUCGCUCAAACAAUCGCAGCACAGCCAGACCAUGGAAUGGGCCGCCACAGCCACAGCUGAACAAUCCGGCGCCGGCGGGAGUGGAGCCCGACGCGGGCCGCAUUCGGGCGAAGAGGCCGGUCGGAAGGCCGAGGAAAGAGCGGAGGUGAGGUGAAUCCAACAUCCAUCCACAUUCCCUGUUUGCUUUAUGGUUCGAAAAAUAUUGGGAUGUGAAGAGUAACUCCAGUGUGCAUUUCUCACCCUUGAAGGUCUCGAAAGCUGAAGAAAUACACGUAGGCUACAAUAUUUUUUUGCAAAGCAAAGUCCAGAUUACUGCUACAACAGGUGAUUGUUGGUAUUGUGUGUAUAUUUAGUUUAGCCUUAAUGUUCUCUGCAGUAGCACAUUGGUAUAUAUGGACAUAUUACACACGCGAUGCUCUUCGAUCGAGCAGUUCGGCCAUGUGUGUGUUGUGUUAUGUUAGCUGUGAGGGUUUAAACUUCAAAGGGUUACUAUCGUACUUCCUCCAUCCCAAAUUAUUAUCCAUAUACAUAGCUCUUACUAUGUACCUAAGUCCAUGCUAAAGAUAUAUAGCUAAAAGAAACUAAAAUGAAUAAUGAAUAGUAAUUAAUAGAACAGGGAGUACUUUUUUUUUCAUCUUCAGCGUGGUAUUCAAUUCGAGCAUGGAUGGAUACAAAACCGUACUGUUACCAUCACUAGAGUAGAUUCAGAGUUUCAGACGGUGCCACCAGAGAGCAUCUGAAUUCAUCUGGCACAACGUGUUUGACGGGGCCAGCGUGCAUGAUCCGACCACGAGUCACGAGGUGGCUUCCUUCCAGGUGCGUUGCAGCCCAUGUGCCGAGGAACACAUCUGAUCUGCAUAGCGUGGGCGUGCCACCUGCAGACGGGGCCUUUUGGAUUUAACGAAUCACUGGGCGCCUUUCGCAUCGCAAGGUCACAGCAAGUCAUCAACUCAGCAAGGUAAUCGCCCAAACCUUUCCCAUCAUCCGCUUCCUGCAGCUAUGCAGCCUACGGAAUUGAGCCAGGCUCCAAGAGCACCGCAAAGGACAAAAUACUCGUGCGCAAUCAGAGAGAGAGAGAGAGAGAGAGGAAAACAAGGGGAAGCAAUCCCUUCUCCCAGAUGCUCUGUGGUCUGCCAUACUUGUUAGAGCACCCGCAGUGUGCCUUCAAACCAAGGCUUCAUUUUUCUCUUUGGGCAUCGGUUUACACGGGGUUAGCACACUGUAGGACGCGAUGCUCAAAUGAAAAAAGUCAGCAUCGAUGGCUGUAGUUUCCUCGAUGCCGAGAGUAUAGAUUAUGAUUUCUAUCGGCAGUUGUACCGCUGCUCACCUGCUCACAGGUUGGCAGUGAGGAGAACAUGAGUUUUUUCUUUCUUCUUUUUUUUACUGCUAACGGACCCUACAUACAUCAAUGCUCAUUUGCUCAACACUGUGGCAAGAGAAUAAAAUGGAGCACCGGUGGUGAUGCGAUACUUUCAGGCAUCGAUAUGUAUUGUGGCUGCUUUUACACAAAACUAUGGCAAGCCAUGGUGAGGUAUGCACUAUUCAACUUUCAACCUUAGAGCUCUUUUGACAAGGUUCCGGUUUCUCCUGCGGCUCUUGCUGGAACCCUACCAAAUAGGGAUGUUAAAAAUGGUUCCACGUCUAGAGCACUAAGGAGCUGGAGCCACCCCGUUUUAAACGGAGGAGCUGGAGAAGGGGAUCUUCGUUUUUCUUUUCCAAAAUACAAAAAGAGUGCUCAUGUACAUGUACCCGUCAUGAGUAUAACAUGUCCCUUUGAGCACGGUCACGACUACAUCUUCCACUUAAACCAUAAUUCACUCUCAAUUACCACCUCUCCCCCUUGGGAGUUAGAACCUUACACUCCCAUCCCCGUCCCAAUAAAAACUUCUAUUUUCUCACCACAUGAACAAGUGAUUUUCAAACUCUUAUAUCUAAACUCCCAUUUCCACGGAUCCCCUCUCACCAAUUAACCCUAACAAAAACAAAACAUAUUGUAAGUCCUAACCUUCGCUCAUGGAAGAGGUGGGUGUAGAUAGCUGGAUGCACAAAGGAUGGUGUGUUCAACGACCCUGAACCCGAGAUGAAAGCGCAUGAUGAUGUAUCUGGAUCUCAUUCCUAAUGUAGUACAUGGACAUAUGCUUGACCUCAAUCAAGCCGCUUAGUUACAAUCGGAGACCGAGGUGGGAUUGGGGAUGAGGUUGGCAUGAAGCAUGAAGGGGCACAUGACCCCUACCAUCUCGCUUUGCUAUGCCAUUGGAGACAUGGCCAGCUGGACGUGGCGCAAAAUAUUGAUGGCAUGUGAUUUUCAUGAGGUGUGCAAACGUGGGGAUAUAUAUUUAUAGCAUUCUAUGACAUACACGAUAUCCUCUUGAUUAGUGGAGGACUAACAAUUAAUCCAACGGAGAAUUAAUACACCAGAGAAUGAUGGCCAAACAAUUAAUCCAACGGAGAAUUAAUACACCAGAGAAUGAUGGCCAAAGAAAUUGAAAUGAUCGUGGGCUUCUAGAGGUGCUAAUUUUCCGUCAUAAGCUCUUUUUUUUUUCAAAUUUUAUAUCUAAACAUUUUGUCGAUUAUUUGAGCACCCAGAUGAUUUUAAAUGAAAAAAGUUUGAACUAUAAAGUUGUAGAUCUCGUCGAGAUAUACAAUUUCAUAUAAAUUUUAUCUCCAUCCAAGUUCAUAAGAAAAAGUUAUGAUUUUUUGAAGAUGUACUGCUCAGAGAAGGGAAAUUCCGCCGGUUCAACUGACGGUAAGGGUGCUACAGUGCAUAUUCCGCCGUUUCAGUUGGCUAUAGCCGAUUUCAAAUGGCUGUAUGCGUAUAAAUUUGCAAUUUUUUAUUAGGACAUAUAUUUUUGCUAAAUGCUAAAAUAUAAAAAUAAAAAAUUCCACAAUAUCCUCUUGUUUAGUUGUUUCCCGGGCCUUAUUGCACAUCGAUUUUUUGGAUUUUUUUAUAUUUUUUUUCGAUUUUGCAGAAAUAUAAAGUCGGAUGAAAAAAUUGCAAAUCCAGGCUAUUGGCGACGGCUGGGCCGGCGAUAAGGCUUUGCCGCCACCUCAGCCGGCGGUAAGGCGCCGACACCGCGGGCGCGUGUCAUUACCGCCACCUAGGCCGGCACUAAGGCCCUACAGCCGUCUGAGGUGGCGGUAAGGACCUGGCCUCCUGCAUCACCGUGGUACGACCAGCGCGCAGGUAGUAAGGGUCCUUACCGCCGCCUGGACCGGCGGGGGUUCCCCUAUAAAACCCUCCGCAGGCAAGCCUCAAGCCUCCCAGCUCUCCUGAUUCAGAUAUGUUGUUUUUGAGAGGAGAACCAGAGAGGGAGAGAAGGAAGGGAAGGAAGAAAGAAAGAGAGGAAAGAAGGGGAAGAAGCCUCCUAGUCAUCAGGUAAGUUUUUUAAUGUCGUAGUAUAGUAGAUCUAAACAUAUCUUAUGGUUUUAGAUGCUAAAAAUCUAGCUUAGUUUGUACAGUAGAUUCGAUAUUUAGUUCAUAGUUUAGUAUUUAGAUCUACAGAUAUGUUGUGUGCUUUUAGACGUUAAAAAUGUAGCUUAGUUAGUAUAGCAGAUUCGGUUUUUAGUUCAUAGUUUAGUAUUUAGAUCUAGAAGCAUUUAGUAUUAUAGUUUCAUGAAAUUUUAAUAUUUUUAUUAUACAACCGUAGGAUGCCAAGGCGUGGAAAAGCUGGAAAACCAAGGUAAUCUCAGUGCACGUCAUUACAUUAACUGGUAGUCGUAUGAUUUAAUCUUAGUUGCUUCCAGUUCUUACAACGAAAAUGGUAAAGGUGGAGUGGUGUUUCAUUGACCGGAAAUGCCUUCGACCCUUUGCCUCUGCCUAGUGGUGUUCCAGUGCCCAUGUGCUUUUGCGGCGAUCCUUGCAAGGUAGCCAAGUCCGAUGGAGAGGACACGUAUAGGCAGAGGUAUUGGAUCUGUUCCACUUUUGCGUUUGGAUGUGUUCCAAUUUUACGUUUGAGCCUACACUUCGUCAGCGCCGCAUUAACAAGAUGGUGAGGAAUUGAUAUUGUGCAAUAAUUAUUUUGUGUCGUAUGACACUUUGAAUGAUUUUUUUAUUUUGUAAUAAUUACAUUUGUUGCAGACCCCUCCACCACUCUGUGAUUUUGAGCAAUGGAUUGACACUGAGAUCAAGCCGGAGGACAAGGAGGAGAUGCAAUACAUGUUGCGUUGGGCGGCAGAGAACAAGGAGAGGAUGGAGAAGAGGCUCAGAGAGGAGGCUGCAGAGAAGGAGCACAAGAAAGAAGAGGAGAGGAGGCGUCUCGCUGCGGAGAGGGAGUAAAGGGAGAGGAAGCUUGAGCGUGCACGCCGAGCGAAAGCAACGAUCGAGGAGAACCCCGAUGCCCUGAGGAAGGGAAAGUGGUAUUGUUGUACUCAGUAGGCUCUGUUAUUGGCUAGUACUCCGUUGUGUGCGGUUGGACCUUUCGUUGUGUGUUCAUGGUUUAUUCAUGGAUAAUGUUGUGUACUGUUGGACCUUUCAUUGUGUUGUGCUUAGGUCAUGUACUCCGUUAUUUGCCGCACAACUUUCAUUCAUAGUGAUCGAUUAUUUUAAUUGUGUGCUUUUAAUUCUUAAUUGGGAAAUGUUUAGACUUGUACAGUGGACGCACGUGAACAUUGAAAAGCAUUUAACUUCUUAUCUAGAAUAAACAAACAACUAUGUAACACUAAACUAAGCUUACUAACUAACUUUAUCAUAGCCAUGCACCACAACAAAUAAAUCUAAUAAUGUUACCGAAAAACUAUAUUGUAAUACCUAACAAAAAAUCAUAAUUUACUAGCUACAUUUAUCGCAGUGAUUUACCAGAACAAACAAAUCUAAUAUGUUACCGAAAAAUUAUAUUCGAAUACAUAACAAAAAAUCAUAAUUUACUAUCUAGGUUUAUCAUAGUCAUUUACCAGAACAAACAAAUCUAAUAUUAUUACCUAAAAACUACAAUGUAAUACCUAACCAAAAUAUCAGAAUUUACUAACUACAUUUAUCAUAGCCAUUUACCAUAACAAAUAAAUCUAAUAAUGCUGACUCUAUUUUACUGUAUAAGCUAAAUCAGUUAUACUAACUAAGCUACAUUUUCCUAUAUCUAAAUACAGCUAAAAGUUUCUAAGUCUAGAUCUAGAUCCACUAUUAUUUCUAAAUCUAGAUCUACAUAUAUGUCUAAAUCUCAGAUCCACUAAUAUUUUUAAUUCUAAAUCUAAACUAAACUAUACUAUAGUAUACUAUACUAAACUACGAGAUAAAAAAAAAUUAUCUGAGAAAGACGGAAGAAAUUUCUUCCCUCUUCCCCCUCCUCCUCCUUUCUUUCUUUUUUUUCUUCCCUCCUCCUCUUCUUCUCUCUUUCUUUUUUCCUUCCCUCCUUUCCUCUUUCUCUUCCUUCCUCCUUCUCCGACUCGCUACCUGGCGCGCACUAGUGCGGGGGAAGAGGAGGGGCACGGGCGGGUUUUAUAGAGGGCGACUGUCGCCGGUCCAGGCGGCGGAAGGGCCUUACUGCCGCCUGGGCCGGCGACGGCACCUCGACUCACGCGCGGCAGUUAUGGUGCCUGUUGACCGUUAGGCAGGAGGGCCCCGCCGCCGGCUGAGGCGGCGGUAAGGUCUUAUCACCGGUCCAGCCGGCGGCAAUAGCCUAGAUUUGUAAUUUUUUUUCAUCCGACUAUAUAUUUCUGCAAAAUCGAAAAAAAUAUAUAAAAAUAAAAAAAUCGAUUUUUUGCGGGCCUUUGGUUGCGCGCGGCAUGUGGCCCAUUACUUAACCGAGCGCGCAAUUCGCCACAAACAAACCUAGGAUGGGCCGGGUCGGGCUGAGAGGCCGAGACAAAAAAAGAAAGGACCUGACGGACUUUCCUAAAAAAAGAGAAAAACCCUGACGGGCACACUCUAACAUCCCGCUGUCGCUCCUGUGUCCUGUCUCGCCGUUGCUCCGACGAGCCCGCCGCCGCCGGCGGACCCCUCUUCUGUCGACUGUCGGGGCAAUCAAACCAAGGCGGCCGGCCACAAGAGGAGCUUCCGGCUGCGGCACGCUUAAGGGCUAUUUGAAUACUAAGGUUAAAGUUCAUCUCUUCUCACGUCGAAUGUUUGGAUAUUAAUUAGAAGAACUAAACAUAAACCAAUUAUAAAACUAAUUGCAAAAACCCUAUGCUAAUUCGCAAGAUGAAUCUAUUAAGCCUAAUUAAUACAUUAUUAGCAAAUGGACUGUAGCGUCACAUUGUCAAAUCAUGGACUAAUUAGGCUUAAUAGAUUCGUCUCACGAAUUAGCCUCCAUCUGUGCAAUUAAUUUUAUAAUUAACUUAUAUUUAAUACUCCUAAUUAAUAUCAAACAUUCGAUGUGAUAGGAGCUAAAGUUUAACUUGAGGAAGGCAAAAAGACCGUGGGUCUGUUCGCUUCAGCUUAUAAGCCGGCUGACCUUUCUUCUCUCCUUCCCGAGCUUCCUGCUGCGUCGAACCCGCCUCCUGCUUCACCCCAUCGGAGCUCGCCAGCCACACGGAGGGAGGAACUCUACAUAUUUAGUUGCAGUUUGUCUGGGACGAACUGUGUUAGAUUGAGUGAGUAUAUGUAUAGUGCAAGAAUCACAUUACAUGCAUAUCUUUAACUUUUUACAUACAUGUAUAUUUCAUUCACUAUAUUAUUACAUCAUUCUCUCUACACUAUGCAUCUAGGACAAUUGCUGAUAUUGAAGAAUCAGAAAACCGAGCUCGCAAUCAAGCUGAAUAUUUGAGGAGCAGUCUAGAGGAGCAUAGUCUUGAGCUUUGAGUAAAAGCGGCAGGUGAAGCUGAAGCUGCAUGCCAGCAAAGGCUUUCCUUUGCUGAAGCAGAACUGGAAGAGUUAAGGGCCAAAGUAGAUGCAUCUGAAAGGUUGGCUUUCUGCUCCAGGGAACAAAGUUAUAUUAACAAGCUAGAACAAUUGAUGGUUGUUGAUUCUUUUAAUUCAACUUAUCUAAAAAUGUCUAAUCCAUACUAUCACCUGUAUGAUCUGUUUGUCAGAGAUGUUGUGGAACUCAAGGAGGCGAUAAGAAUUAAAGAGGCUGAAGGAGAUGCCUAUAUUUCUGAUAUUGAGGUUAAUUUAUUUUUUUAUUAUCAUUACUUUUUUGGGUAUGCGUGAAAGCCUAUGAUAUUUGCAUACAGACAAUCGGUCAAGCAUAUGAAGACAUGCAAACACAAAAUCAGCAUCUUCUUGAACAGCUUGCUGAUAGAGAGGACUUUAACAUAAAGGUAUUUAAUAGUUCUCCUUUUAUCCUUUUUACGUCAAAACUACAAACUCGUGGCAUACGGAUUGAAGAUAGAUGCCGAGAGUAUUUUAUGCUAAUGUUCACUUAACACUGCCUUCUUUGUAAGCUUUGACAGUCUUGGUAUUUCUACCUUAGCACAGCAGAAUAGGUACAUAAACAAUCAACCAUAUUUUGAUGUGCCAUGAAUCGUGAACUGCUGGCAAGCAAGGAAAAAGGAUCUAAAUGAGAAACAUCAUCUACUAGUUUUGUGGGUUUUAUGGUGUAUUUUGUAGACUGUUUACUGACAUAUAUAGAGGCAAAGAGCUUCGCUUAAGGCUGUUUGAUGACCUCACUGUGCCUGUGUCUAUUAGCCAUGCAGUCAUUGCUGGAGGAUAUAAGCACAUUAACCAUUACAAACUCUGUUUGCAGUUUUGCAUUGGCAAAAGCUAGCUUUCCUUCACUUAUUGGCUGCUAUCAGUAACUUAAUCCUCAUCUGACAGCUGGUAUCCGAUAGUGUGAAGAUGAAGCAAGCUUCUAGUUCCCUUCUCUCUGAAAAGCUUAUGUUGGAGAAACAACUCCAGCAAGUUCAUACUUCACUGGAGUCAUCCAAACUGAAAAUGGCCCGUGGUGAAGAGCAGGUAGUUUCCUACUUCUGUUGUAAUAAUACUUCUUUUAUAUAGUACCAUCUGUUGGUAACCUGCAGUCACUAAAAUUAAUUAUGUGCCAACACAUUCCUAGAAAAUUUUUGUGAUAGCAAACAUUAACUUAAAAAAUGUAAAUUUGAUCUUACUGUUAACACUUGGAAGUGAGCCAGUUUUAAAAGUGGUUUACUCGAAUGAUUUUACAGAUGAAGACUUGUGUAGAACAAGCUAUAAAAACAUCAGCUGAAAACAGACAUCUUACGAUUAGCCUGGAAAGGGCUGUGCUGGACGUAUCCAACACAGAGAAGGAGCUCAAGUGGUUUCGGUCCUCUGUUGGAUCCUCUGAGAAAGAUUAUGAGCAGACUCAGCAAAAGAUAUCUGAGAUGAGGAUGUUGCUAGAGAAUGAGAAGUUAGGCUGCUGUUAAGCUUCUUUUACAAGUCGAUCGUGCUAUGCUGCUGGCCUCUCACCACUUUCACGUUACCUUUACUUUUUCUAGGAGUGAGAGGCGGCGGCUUGAGGAACAAUAUGAAGAGGUGAAAAACGAAGUUAUGGAGCUGACUUCUGAGACUGAAGAGACUACUAUCCAGAAGCUCCAGGAUGAAAUAAAAGAAUGCAAGGCUAUUCUCAAGUGUGGCGUCUGCUUUGCCCGGCCUAAAGAGGUAACAUAUAAUGUGCUGUACAGCUUAUGUUUUUUUUGAAUGACCUAAACCUGUUUCUUAAUCAAGAUGGCAGAGAUUUACACCUUACUUCACAAGCUCCUGUUUCGUUGUUAAUCUCUUGGAUGUUGGAUGGUAGUUUGGCUGCCUAAGCUGAUGAGGGUCCUAUUUCUCUUCUUGUUCGUUAACAGGUUGUGAUUACCAAAUGUUUCCACCUAUUCUGCUCACCAUGCAUCCAGAGGAACCUUGAGAUUCGCCACCGGAAAUGUCCCGGCUGUGGAACUCCAUUCGGGCAAAAUGACGUUCGGGAGGCGAAGAUAUGAAGCUUCUCCAAACUGAGACUGACUUGGUGUUUGACUAGCAUUGACCUGAGGAUGCUUCUCCCUUGUGAAUAUAGUCAUGUUCUCUUGGCAAAUAUCUAGAUCUAUUGUACCGUACAUAGAUGCUUCCUUAUAGAAAAGGGGAAAAUGAUUAGAAGAAAGGAAGUUCGUGAACUUAAUUGCAGUCAUGCAUGCCCCUGUUUCAGAGCAACUUUAGAAAUAUCCCCUAUUCGUUAACUAAGGAAGGGUUUGUGAUGGUGAAUCUAGUUAUGUAAGUUUCAUGUAACAUAUGUAAAUAUUCAUACCUUUAAGCAAUCAAAUUUUUAAAAGGUUGACAACACACAUUCUAGGAUUUUUUUUCCGAUAAGGGAAGAUUUUAUUAAUCAAGAUUGUUACAUCGAAUUGAUACAAAGAUCUUGAAGUACUUCCGGCCUUUGCACAACUAGGAUAUACAUAUGCCUAAAAAGCAAAUAAAAGUCCGGCGCAUUAACAACAUUCAAUCCGAUGACUAGACUGCCACCCAUGUACCGGUAAAAAACUUCUUGGCCACUGCUCCAAACGCUUGAGACGCUGCUGUGCUGCUGUAACCAAGUCCGGAGUAGAUGGCAAUUGAGAUAGACCCACACCCAUGGCCAUCGCCCAUAUGUACGUACGUGGAUCCAAACCGGCCGGGGAGAUAGGGGGUGCAGCUAAGACCUAGCUACGCACUCGUAUCCGAAUUCCAAACCGUUCUCCAGGGCUACCCGUGCGUAGCAUCUUUCCCGCUUCACAACAGAACAGAUCCACACAUAUAUUCCGCUAAAUUGUACUACUCCACCGUGUCAGCUCGCUGCAUCUACUAGCUCUAGCUUACUACGACGCAGCUCCUGCAUGGCUGCAUAUAUGGUCGGCUCGGCUCGGCUCUUGCCUCUUGGACGUACGGCCCACGAGUCUGCUAGACUACUACACGACGCGAUAUAUGUGUGCGUCCAUAUAUCUCUCGCCAGCUUUGCUGUCUAGUCUAGGGUAUGUUAAGCCUACACAACAAACUAGCGUGCUUUAAACCACAUGUCCUUUUUGGACCGUAUUGCUCGAGAUUCGAACGAGUGGAGUGGAGGACGACGCAUCUCGCAUGUAACUCCGGAUUGAUCUAGUCAUUAUAUAUUACUCCACAAUCUAAAAGUAGAUACCGUUUUUAGCUCAUAGCUAUCUAUUGUUAUUAGUUGUAGGUUCGUCGGUGACAUAUCCAUCGACAACAAGUUGAAACGUCAAGGGUAACUUCCUAAAAGUAUUACGGCCCAUUCUCUCAUGAAAUAACAGGGGUAAGGUACAUGUGUACGCGCGCGUUUAUAGAGGUGUGAGUGUGCAUACAUACUGUAUGUAUAUGAGUGCUUGCCCCUGUUUUGGGAAACGACAACCAUUGUUUACUUUUACGUAUUGUAAAAGAUUAGUAUUCAAAGUUGUAUUUUUAUUAUCAUGUCGAUAUCCUAAACGAUACUUCCUCCAUACUAAAAUAAGUGAUCUUUUAGAAAAUUUCAGACAAAAUAUAUAGUCAGGAUACAAAACAUCCUACGUGCUCCUAAUAAAUUUGUUUAGUUGGUUUUGAUGAUCAGGAUGUUUGUAGAUUUCCGGAAUGUGGGCAUGUAUGUGAUUAACUCAUCACCUCCAAUCGAAUAGAGGCUUCUCCGGCUCCCAAUAAUCCCAUGACUCGUGAGUCGGGAGGGCCGGGGUGCCAAAUUUAAUGUGUGCGUCUCACUUAAGCUUGUCUAAAACUUACAAAUUUUGCACUUUUCCAUGCAUGUGUGUUCUCUCUCCUGCAAGCCAUGCUUUUCCUUUUCUCCUUUGCAUCCUUCUCUCCGGCGCACACUACGUAUAAUGAUGGCAUUAGCGCGCAGGUUUUUUCCGACGUCGCGAAGGAAGAGAAAUCAUAGGGGAGGGAGUGGAUUCUUUUUUCCCUCCAAAACGUACAGAUGUAGAAACCUUUCCUCUGGAAAGGAAUUGUUGAAUCCUCCGUUCCAAACACUUGUACAGUAGCAAAAACUAUAGGAAUCUGAUUCCUACAAAAUUCCUUUGAAAAUACUCCAUUCCAAACAGGCCCUAAUUAUUACUAUUGAUGCAGAGGUACUCCUUCCAUCCCAAAUUAGUCUAGAUACACCACAUUUGCUAUGCACCUAUAUAUAUAGGUAUAUCUAGAUACAUAUCAAAAGUAAUGUAUCUAGAAGAACUAAAAUAAAUAGUAAUUUGUGAUGGAAAGAGUAGUAUGGUAUAAUCCAUGCCGGUGAGAGCCCCAGCUAGCCCCUCUUGGAUUCUCUCCGGGUCCGCCACUCGGGCUAGCUUAACUUGCAACAAUGAAUCCAUGCGAGCAUGGCAGAUCGCUCGAUUCGAUUCCGGCUACCUGGUCCCGGGCCCUUGAUUGUACUUUCCUCUUUAUUAAUUCCUAUUAAUUUGGAUCCAUAAUGACCUCUCUUAUUACAAGUCUACUGCUACAGCGAUCGACGUCGUAAUAAAUGCAUGUGAGAGGGUCCCAACCUUUAAUGCUCGCGGCCUAAUCAUAGUGAAAGAUCGCGCGUCUUUUUCGAUCUGAUCCGGUGUUCAGAACAGUAAUGGGAAUGAAACGUUUCUUCAUGAUUUAGGAUUGCAGCGUGAUCGGGACAUAGGAUUUAUUCCACAUUUGUGACUAGUCAUUCAUUCAACAAAUCAGGGCGCGGCAGUACAAACGCACCUUUUUUUCAAAAUGCGUACGUCGUUAAAAUAGUUUGUCACGUUUCAAAAUCUUGUUAAAUUUCAUCUAUCAACUUACGGAGUAGAUUGUUAAAUUUAGUUCCAUAUCGAAAACUGAUGAGAGGAUCGGGAAGCGCAACAUAUGAGAGGAUCGUGCUAAUGUUGUAGGUUGAGUUAGACCCGAUACCUUGAUUCAUUUUGGCUCCACGGACUUGAGUGUGGUGGGAUGCUAGCUCAUGGCCGGAAUAUACUGCACAUACUAACAAGAUUUUAAGAUUUACAAGCUUUUUGCUGGAGAGAGCACCGAAGCAGGGCCCAUGCAUAUACAGGAAUAAAACUGUUUAGGCCUGUCCAGAAUGCAAACAUUUCUUGGUGAUUACUCUACCUAGAAAUUGACUUGUUUCCGUCCAUAUAUAUAAUUGCAGAAAAGUUCUAUUAAAUUCUAAUUGCACAUGUGUUCUUUCGAUUCGUGGCAUGAAUGUAAUAUCAACAUAUACUAUUUGGUGAAGAAGUAAUAUCAUCAGAUUGUACGUGGAAGUUAAGGCAAAUUUGCAGACGAACUCAAGGGUAAAGGCCAUGUCUUGUCCUAAACACUAUGCAUGCAUUCACAGAGGGAGAGUUCUUGUGUAAGGACUAAUUACUUCGAGCUCCGCCAGACAACUUCUUCAUGGACAAGCAAGUGAUUCUUAUCUGUAUCAAGACUCAAUGUAAGAAGAGCUAGAUAACCAAGAAACACAACUAAUACAUGCAUGCAGCCAUGCACCAUAAACCCCAAAUUAGUAAAUUAACACACAUACACAUAAUGUACAUUUACCAAAAGGAAAAAAUAUUAAUACACCUGCACCUGCAUAUCCCAUUCAGUAAAAGUCCACCACUAGCUAUAGCUAAAGUACUGUAACACAGUAAAAAGAAAAAGGCUAGGUAGUAGCUAGCUACUGUGGUGCAACAAACCUAGCUAGGCGUUGUUCCUUUCUCUCACGUCAUGCAUCUCAUAAUGCAGCGACGCUAUAGACUUUUCCUCCUCCUUUAACGUACGUGUGCGUUUGCACGCAUCGCACUAGAUGAAGUCCACCUCGAAGAAACCGUUGCAGCCGCCGUUCUGCUGAUCAUCUGACGCCGACGAGCACGACAAGAUGUUGCCGCCGCCGCCGUCGAGCUGGUUCUGAGCCUGCUGCUGCAUCACAAGUGAGGUCAUGAAGCGGCGAUGCUCUUCGUCGUCGUCACGGCGGCCUUGCACCUGCCGCAUCAGCAUGGAGUCCAGACCGCCGUCGUCGUCCUUGUCGUCGUGCAGCGGCAGCGCGGCCAGAGACAGGGACGUCGGCUCCGCCGCCGCGCUGCUCGGCUGGCCAUUGUCCAUGGCGUCGAGGCAGCUGACGCCGCUGCCGUUCGGCGAGAUGGCCGUCGACUUGGCUGCUGCCGUGGAACCUGCUCGUCGUCGUACAUACAAUGAUGAUAGGCACGUCAGCAUCCAAAAGGGCUUUGCGAAAGUCUAUAAUGAUCGAAGCAAGCACAUUGCGGAAUAUUUCUGAUAACAAGUAGGAGCUGGUUGGGCUUUGCAUCUAGCUAUAUAGUGUAGGAGUAGAGUUGAUCCCACACACGUACGUCGAAACUUUGGCGCCAUGCAUGCAUGAGUGCAUGUACGUCAGGCCAGAAUUCUAGGUGCAGAGAUGCAUGGCAUUUGGUCGAACUAACGUUGUAAAGUGCUUGCACAUCGACUGUACUUAUAAUCAUCAUAACUUAACAUUGUUGUUGCAUCUUGCCAUGAUGUCUUUAUGCUGAUCGGUGUAUGUAUCUGUGUUGGUAAAAUCAUGCAUUAUUAGAUUUGGGCUCUUGAACCUAGAAAUUCGAUUCAGAGCUCAGAUCUAAACCUAAAAUGUUUCAAAUUUUAAAAUAUACUUCAAAUGGUCCCUGCACAAAGUGCCGUUGAUUAAUCACCACCUUAAUUAGUUUCGAUGAGGAUUGAGGAUUAUAUAUGCAGGAUUCAUGCUGACAUCAGAUCGAGCCAGCUUAUUAAUUAGUUCAGGGCUUCAGGCUUCUUACUCUUGUGAUGAUCACUGUUGCAGGAGGUGGUGAUGCAAGUAGUGUCCGCUCUCUUUGGCGGCGGCGAGGAGUACUUGCCCGCCUGUGCCCCGGCCGGCUUCCGGCGGCGGCGGUUGUGCUCGGUGAGCCGCUUCCGGCAGCUCCUCUUGGCCUCGUCAAACUCGGCGAGCACAUGAAACCUAGCAAAGGCGCCAUGAAAUAAACAAAGCAAUAUGUGACUGCAAUGUCCGUAUACACAUGCUGACAUGCACGUAUAAAUAAUAUAUACGCAUACGUGCCACGUGCCACGUGUGCAUGCGUAUAUGUGUACGAGACGACUACUAUACGUAUACGUAUAUGGCCGGCUGCAAUGAUGAGUGUGUGGUCAAUGCUGGGAUGGGAUGGGAUGCGCAUCAUCUGAAACGAAACGAUCGCCGGCGUCAGUCGUGAAAGUGAAACAGCGAGCUGACUGCUGACUCGACAGGCUGCAGCCUUUCCCACUGGCCGGUUUCUCCCCCCCACCCCAAGUAACUUUCCUUGGCUCCAUGCAUGCAUUAACUGUUUUGUUGCUAGCUAGCACGGAGCCUGUUUGAAAGAAGCGAUCCAGGGAGAAAGAGAGGUGAACAGUGCCGCGCAGGGUAGCAGUAUUGGCUGCGUCCAUGAUUGCACCCUGCAUGCAUGCUUGCAUGAUAUCUUGGAAAGGAAGACCACUCUACAGUCUACACUGCAUGUCAUACGCUAGAGACAUCGUGUGUUCAGGACUUCAGGCAGCCAUCCCAUGCAUGCAUACGCCACAUCAGAGCUAGACCACUCUUUUAUUUUCGAAAACAGUAAACACUUUGGACCGAACAUGAAUUUGACCACAUAAUCUAUCCGAGCCAUUUAUUUUUGAAUCAGUGUUGAGAUAUAUGGGUGAAAAGUACAUGUGAGAUUAGAUAGUGAAUUAAUGGUUGGAUGGAGAGAAAUUAAGGAGUGUACGUAGUUUUACAUUUUUCACCUUAGAACACAAAAUACAGAACACGUGCACUCACUCCUAUGAGUAUCAAUAGGUAUAUAACUCUUUCAUACGAGUUAGCGUGCUUUGCUUAGUUUUUUUAUCGCGUGUACUAGCACGUGCUCGAUCGUGUAUGCAGGUAUGCAUGUGCAUGCAGGGGAGGGACGUAGUUAACGUAACGACGUACCUGCUGCACUGCUGGCAGAAGCGCUGCUGCUUGCCGGCGGCGGCGACGGCGGCGGCCUUAGCGUGGAACUCGCAGACCUUGUGGCGGCGGUGGUAGUGCUUGGCGGCGGAGAGGUCGGCCUUGCAGCCCUCGGCCUGGCACCGCGGCGGCUGCUGGUGGUGGUGGUGCGCGGCGCCGAGCCCCAGGCCAAGCACGCCCAUGCCGAGUCCCAUGCCCAUGCCCACGCCGUCAACGAGCCGGGCGGACCGCGUCAGCAGCCGGUCCACGGCGAGCACGUCGGCGGGGGAGAAGUAGGUGCGCCGCCCGAGGUUCAGCCCGAUCGUCCCGCCGCCGCCGUCCACGAGGGCCCCGCCGCCGCCGUCCUCCCGCUUCAGGAACGCCGCCGCCCCUCCCGCACCACCGAAAGGAUGGUACAUCUCCGCCGCUGUCGGCACGCCCAGGAGCGACGUCGUCAGCAGCGGCAGCUGCAGCGACGGCGGCGCCAGCGGCAGGCUCGCGGGCGGGAGGAGGCCCGGCUCUUGGAACGGGAAGCCGCCCGCAGCGGCGGCGGCAGAAAGAUCGAAGCUGUCGUAGAGGUUGCUGUGGUGCUGGAGCAGCGGCCUCUCAACGCUGGGCAUGGCCAUGGCUCCGGCGUCGAAGCCGACGACGUAGGGCUGCUGCGCCUGCAUGGCCCCGAAGCAGAAGUCGACGUCGUUGGCUGGCGCGGCCAUGGCGUUGGUGUUCAUCAUCCUGCUGCUCAUCAUGGCUGGGUGCGCAGGGGCAGGGGCAGGGGCGGUGGAGCACAGGAAAUGGAAGCAGUGGGGGUCGACUCUCUGGGUGGUUAAAAAGGCUCGAUCUACGGCAGUGCAGAGAGAGGAGACAUUACUGCAUGUGUUGGAUAGGGAGAGAGAGAGAGAGAGAGAAGUCACCAGCAAGUGAGUAACACCUAGAGGUUAGAGGUCUCUCUCUAGCCAAAUCCCUUUUGGUGAAACACACACCCUCUCUCAAGCCGUUUUGGUGAAAAACUCUCUGCGAGCGUACAGUGUUCGUGUUGGUACGUGUUACGUGGCCACAUGCAUGGUAACAUCUUGAAGCUCGCGCACGUACGUACGGCCACGUUUGGCGCAGGAUCGGGUGGUGGGCCGGGUAUAAUGCAUGGGCUUUUGUCAUGUUACCCACCAGCUCGAUCAGAUCAGAAAGGCGAUGGCGACUCCGGUCGGGGCGGGGUGCGGUGGGGGCGUGCCAUGGCUUUUCUGCUUCUUCCGACCGGCGCACAACCGAAACACAUGAAGCUAGGCGAGCAGUCGUGCUGUGCAGAGAUCAUGCAUGCAUGCCAUCACUGCCGGGCCCUUCAGUUCAGGAGUCACGCGGCCGGCCAAUAUGAUGAUUGGCGCGCGCGCUAACAAUGUUCCUCGUGCAAAAUUUUACUGCCCCAUGCAUGCAUGCACAUAUGGGGGCUGUUUGGUUUCAGCCUAACAGGCAGCUACAAGGUAGCAAUCUGAAACUCAGGCCAACAAGGUCCAGAUUUAAUUGCGGAUUCGUCAAAUCCGAUUUAAAGUCAUAGACAUAUUGGUGCAUUUUUUUCGUAAAAUUGAUCAAAGUUAGAGAAGCUUGAUUUGAAACGAAACUAAAACGGCCUGCAUUUCUAUAGUGGGAAAGGAGUAGCUGAUAUUGUAGCUAGUUUAUUUGCUCUGGAGUCUGGAUGAUUCAGCUCGAUUUGAUCUUAUAAGUAGCUGCUGCUAGUAGUAAGGAAAAUGUGUUCUGCUGGCCACGUAUAUGACGCGCCCUGUGUUUCCUUGCUUUGCACUACUGAAGCACAGGAUUAGCAUAGUCGUGCCCAUAAUGUCCAUAACUACGCACUUAAUAUGCUGCCGCGGCAAAACAUGUACUCUACCACACAUAAUUGCUGUAAUUAAUCUAACGACAUCCAACAUCAUAACUAGGUAGUUAUUGUCCAUAGCUGCCGUCGCCACAGAACAAAAUGAGACACACUAGGGAGUUACUGUCCCUGUUAAUGAGAAAUAUAAUGACAAUGUUUGCUCUGUUAAUGUGCAUACUACACUCACUAAGAGCAGUUCUAACCCUCCACUUCAACAGGUGUCCAUAUAAUUAAUUAGGGUGCCACAUAAGCAAAAGUCUGAUGUGGCAAUGGAAUUAAUGAGGAGAGCGGAGAAAAUAGGAGGAAACCGUUGUCGGUGUUUUAUACCGGCAACCCACCUAGGGAGUAACCAAGGUGGUGUUUUGUACGGUGGGUGUCGUCGAGAAUCAAGGAGUCGAUGAUGACGCAAGGAACAUGAUUUAGACAAGUUCGGGCUGCUAGAUCGCGUAAUACCCUACGUCCUGUGUGGAUUGUAUUGAUGAGUUGUGUUGUGUUCUGCUUAGAUGAGCUGCCGAUCUAGGUACUCUUGCCCUCCUUUAUAUACUCUAGGGGGCAGGAGAACUAGUCGGAUUACAAGGAGGAGUCAUAGCAGGAGUACUCAGUAUGAGUCCUAGUCGGAUUAUAGGGGAAUCUUAGUAGGAGUACGAUUUCUUCCUUCCUUGCGGGUACUGGGGAUCUAUCCCCGUCAAGCCCUCGAGCGCUUCAUAGUCGAAUACAACAGUCUUCGAGUAGUCUUAAGAUAUUCGGCGAGUAGUCUUGGUGCUUUUCGAGUACUUCGUCUGCAUCUUCAAAGUUUCUCAAGGCUGCCAUGAGGCUAUGAUGUGCUCAAAGCCUUUGAUCAUCUUGAUAUUGUAGUCUUCAUAUAUGGAGGGCGGUGAAAGUCGCACUCCAUAUGGAGUAGCCCCCGAGCCUUAGGUUGAAUCCAAGAAUCAAGCUGAGGGUCAAAAUCUUGAAUCUUCUUCUUUCAGCUUGAAAGAAAUCUUAGGUGUAGCUUAUUUGCCCCCGAGCCUUGAAUUGAUUGAGUAAUCAACUCAAGGAUCUCGAAUCUUCACUCAGAUCAUCAUCUGAGUAGUCUCACAGCGACCAGCCCCCGAGCUUAUGCGCUAGGUGAGCCGUAGGAGCCUCGUCGAGUAGUAUUAGCACUUAGCCCUCGAGCUUGAGUAGUUAUUUGCACUUAGCCCCCGAGCUUGGAAGCUAGCUGAGCUAUUGGAGAUAUUCCGAGUAGUGAUUGGCGCUUAGCCCCCGAGCCUGGGAACUAGUCUGUGCCUUCGAAGGUACGCUUAGUGUCGUCGCUGAAGCUCGAUCUAAAAGAAAAGAUGCAUACAUUAUGUAGCAUUUUUGUAGGAUAUUGAAACUGCUGAAAUUUGUUCAGUGAUCAAUAUGAAAGUUGUGUGUCAUGCUCUUAUCUCGGUCAUAUUCUUCCCAAGUAGUUAGCCUGUUACGCUUAGGCUCUCAGUCUCUGGGUAGCCGUUGCCACUGCAUGUGUGAGAUCUUCGUCUCGUAUACGCGUAUGGGCUUAGGCGUGACAGAUGUGCUUGAAGCUUUCACGAGUUAAGGCGUAUUCUGCUCGAGAAGAUUAGUGACCUUAAGAGAAGACAAAAGUGAGUAGUCGUUGUUGCAAUAAAAAGAAAGCGUGAUUGCGCGCAAGAGUUUGCUGCCCUCCGACGAGUAGAGCGCAUGUUGUGUGCAAGAGUUCGACGAGUAGAGCGCGUGUGGUGCGCAAGAGUUUGCUGCCCCCCAGCGAGUAGAGCGCGCGUUGUGCGCGAGAGGAAAGCAAGCUGGAAAAUAGUUGGAAAAGAGACUUAGCUUGAUUCGUGGACGACAGUUGACAAAGCCGUGGCGGUCGUUGACGAAGCCAAUUAGCCGGAGUUGAUUCCGACUAGUUGUCGAGGGUGCGAGACCCGCCCUUGACUAGUUUUCUAGUCGAGAUAAGGAGUCAAAGUUGUUAUCGACAAAGCCACGACAGUUGCUGGUGAAGCCAGCUAGUUGGAAUCAAUUCCGACUAGUUGUCGAUGGUGUGAAGUCUGCCCCAACUAGUUUUCUAGUCGAGACGAGUAGUUGAAGUAGUCCCUGGCGAGUCGCCAGUCGAAGUAGUUGUCGGCGAGCGUCGUGACGUAGUCGUAGUCAUCGGCGAGCGUCGUGAUGUAGUCGUAGUCAUCGGCGAGCAUCGCGACGUAGUCGGAGUAAUCGUCGGCGAGCGUUGUGAUGUAGUCGGAGUAGUCGUCUUCGACUAGUAACUAGUCGAGACGAUUAGUCGAAGUUGUCGCCGGAUAGUUGUAUCCGAGUUGUCAACUGACUCUAGUCUGGAUUGGACUUCGAGUAAGGAUUGCUUGAUGGACCGCGGUUGCAUUGCGGAGUCCGAAUGGAACACAACUUGGAGUUGUAGUCGGUCUGCACGGUGACUUGAUUGCCAGCUCACGCGGACUAAUUCUAGCCGUGGUCAAGUCCGAGUUGUAGUCGAACUCGGUGUUUGAACAGAUCGAAAUUGUUGAUUUUCUCGACGAGUUCUUCUGCUUCUUGUCGAACAGAGUUUUCGUCGAGAUGCUUCUUCUCGUGGUUGUUGAUGAUGCAGCGUUGGAAGGAUCCAGCACCGUCAGCGAUGCAAAGCCAGGAGCCGAAGACGAAGGUUGCGCCCGCUUCGAAAAGCGAAUGCCGACUUGAUGAUGACUGGUGCAUCAAUCUCGCGCGGAGAAACUCGGAGACUUCCCCUACCUGGCACGCCAGCUGUCGGUGUUUUAUACCGGCAACCCACCUAGGGAGUACCCAAGGUGGUGUUUUGUGCGGUUGAUGUCGUCGAGAAUCAAGAGUCGAUGGUGAUGCAAGGAACAUGAUUUAGAUAGGUUCGGGCCAUCUAGAUCGUGUAAUACACUACGUCCUAUGUGUGGAUUGUAUUGAUGAGUUGUGUUGCGUUCUGCUUAGAUGAGCUGUCGAUCUAGGUACUCGGUAUGAGUCCUAGUCGGAUUAUAGGGGAAUCCUAGUAGGAGUCCAACUUCUUCCUUCCUUGCGGGUACUGGGGAUCUAUCCCCAUCAACCGUGUCUCAUGCACGACCUGGUGUCCGCUCGGUAUCUAACGGGUAUCCAGAUUAGGGAUACCCUAAACCAUCGGUAAACCUGGGCAAAGAAAGGAUUAGGAAACAAAGCUAAUUGGGCCGAACGAGAGACCGCUGCCAUCACCGCCCGACUAGCUGACAGUGCCAGAGGUUGAAGCCCAAGAAUCGAGAGGAACAUGCCACUAGGCUGACCCAAGAUGCCACGCAAGGGUCGAGGUGUAAUGAUGGGCCAGACUUAUUAUGCCCCUAAGACGGAGCUAGGCCUGCCCGAUGUGAUAGCCGCAGCCGAGCUCGUGUGGGCUGAGGCGAGGAAGCGUGGGCCGACCAAUCGGGCGCACCGUUUUCCGUGCCCAAAGGGGUAGGACAACCGCCUAGGACAAACAUCCCCAGUCAGGAAUGGCGUUGUGGCAUUAUUCCAGAUCGUACCCGGUCAAGCACGCUCGAUUCACCAUCAUGACGGUACCAGGUGAAGUGACCGGGGCAGCCCCCCCCCCCCCCGAUACGUGUAGGGCCAGGUUCGACAACCGAUGCGGCCAGAAGAGCGGGUCCCGGAUGAAGGUUUCAAUGGAGAUCAAGCAGAAGAAGCCUCGACUGAAGGACAGGCCCCACAACAACCACUCAGAGGAGAACGCCCGAGUGAAUGGGGAUCCCACGACGACCAACAGUAUAAUCCUCCCUAUGAGCCGUGUAUAUAAGUACAUGGGGGACGAGAGAGGGGAUUCGACCCCAAGUAGAACACGCGCGUACCGUUUGUAACCUCCUAGUACAACCUUGAGCUCUUGAGCCCGGGAAUAAAGAAUUCGCAUCACGAACUGGAUGUAGGGUAAAUUGCCUGAAUCAGUAUAAAUCUCCUGUGUCUCACAAGCUAACCCAUCCAAGGAUUCACACGGCAAAUCUUCACUAGUUGAUGCUACUACACGGUAUCCAACGCUGAGACACAACUUAGGUACUAUAGUUUCUUAACCCGAUGUCUUUCUGAUAUGGCAACGUAGAAACUGACCAUAGACAUUAUGGGUUGGGACUAGCCUGAAAUACUCUUUCACAUCGUUAUUCUAAUUAAUGUCCAUAAAAUAAUUUCAAGCGCGUCGACCGACGACGGAGGAGACAUGAUAUUGUUUCAUACUCCUUGUAGAACACUUAAGAAACAUCCCCAACGUGUUUUUUUUUCAAACCUUUUGAUUCAGCUAUUUAUAGAUACAAAAUCUCGUUAUAGACGGUUAGUUGUAUCUCAUAUUCAAGUGGGAGACUGGGAGUGUGGGGGCCGUGCUUCUGAUCUGAAUUUGGAUGGACAUGAUUGGAUCGGAAUUGAAUAAAUACACUAGAUUCGUUCUGCGCACAAAUCCUACCAACAGUUGGCCGGAGCAAAUAGACUUCUGCAUUCAUCAUGGCAACCGAAUUAACAUCAGUAACAACCUUUCCUUAACCAGAACGGUGAGCAACACAAAUUCAUUCGGAAAUGAGAAAUUAAAGCAUGGAUAUGCUUAUUGCAUCAUCCUUCUAAAUUUUUACCCCACACGCCCUCGUACGAACCUAAUAAUAACCUGUCGUUCGAUGUGGUAAUAACUAGCUGGUAAGCUUAGAGCCAGCCAGCCUGCUAUAGGGUAAAUUCAGAAGGUAUUCAUCAUGUGUCCUUGUGCAUCAAAGCAAAUUAAAACAUUGACAUGAAUAACGAGAGCAUCGAGCGUAUGCAAAAGACAUGGGUAAACCUGUACUUAACUUGAGAUGAAAACGGGCAUGGCAUGUGCUUGCACGUACACGUACGCUUGCACUGCACACCAAGGCCAGCUUGGUUGCAGGGAAUGAUCGUGCCCGUAUAGGGCCGUACACAUACGUGUGUACGUGCCGAUAGCUUAAUUACGACAACGAUUGGGCCCCCCGGUACGGUAUCCAUGCGUAGCCUGCUAGAUACUGUACCCUCGUAAGCCGUGCAUUAAUUUUUCUGUGCUAUAGUAUAUACUACGUGUAGCGUACUAACAUAGCAUCACAAAUGGAAUGGCAUUACUGUUCAUGAGUUUUAUCAGUAGAUGUGGGCAAGUGUAGUCCAGGAGCGAGAGGGGUGAAACGACGAUCGAUUUGACGUCUUACAACAAGCCAAGGGGGUAUUCAAGUGAUCAUGGAGGUACUUACUGCCUAGUAGGACAAACUUAUGUAGUUUUAGUUGUAGUUUUUGUCCUAUAAGUCGUUCUGGUUUUACUUAGUGCCUAUUACAUUGUUUUAGUUUGGUUCUAAGUUAAAAUCUUUUAACUUUAACCAAAUUUAUGUAAAAAAAAAUACCCGCAUCUAUAAUACGAAAUUAUUUGUUAUCUUUAUCAUAAUAUAUCUUAAUAGUGCAUUUAUUAAAUAUUUGUAGAUGUUAAUAUACUUUCUGCUUCGUCAAAGUAAAAAAAUUGACCGAACAAAAUUUUCAAUGGCGAAUUUUUUCAAAUUGAAACAACCCAUAUACUUCCUCCAUUCCAAAUUGUAGGUUGUUUUGCCUUUACUAGAUUCAUAGAUGUUGCUAUACACUUACAUAUACACUAUAUCUAGAUACGUAGCAAAAUGUAUGACAAACGACCUACAUUUUGGAAUAGAGGAAGUAUUUCUUAAGAGUGGAACGGACGGAGCACGAGAUGCAAUGGCUUGGGAAACAGCUAGCUGAAUCACUAGGACCAGGCUCUAGCUACUAGUAGCUCGGUAGCUAGGUGUAGGAGGUGAUUAAAGAGUCCAUAUUAAUUCGUGCUUAUAUGGAAAAACUCGUGUGGGUAAUGAAUGAGAUGUCUCCUAAAUAAAUUUACCUUGAAUGAGAAGUACGAGAUAAAGUUAGGCUUAGGUAUCCAUACCCUUUUCCCAAAUCCACAACCACUUCAAAUAGGAAGGGUAUGGGUAUAAAAUUAUAUGCUCAUUAGAAAUGGGGAGGAUACAAUUAAUCAAUUGGAUAUAUUAAUUAUCCAUUGGAUAUGAGUAGAAUUGGGGAGGGUAAGGAGCGUAUAACAAUUAUUUGGAUUUGGGUGUGAACAAGAGUUGGUUUGUCUGUACCCUCCCCAGUGGCACGUCUAGAUAAUAAUUAUUUGGAUUUGGGUGUGAACAGGAGUGGGUUUUCCCGUACCCUCCCAUAUGGCACGUCUAGAUAAAGUGGUGUGUAAGAACCAAAGAAUAUCUACAUAUAGAGGCCUCUAGUUAAGGGAGAACCAUCAAACUUAACUAAUAAUAAAGAAAAGACUAAAUUCAUCACAGUCUAAUUGCAUUUAUGCCUUCAAUUGUUAUAUCUAGUUCAACUAUAAGGGUAUAUAAAUGUCGCUUUGAUGGUUUAUCUAUGAAAGUAUCUCUUAUUAUCACGAAUGCUUAAGUAUCUAUGGGGAUAUGAUGGUAAUUUUCUCGUUUUCUACUACAGAAAAGCUCUUAAACAAGACCUAAUAACUGUGUUACCUCUCUUCACUCUCCUCCACAUAAAACAAUUGAUGACAUGCAUUGUAACUUGGAUGUAACUUUAGAGAGAAACAAUGUACUACUUAAUGUUGUGUUUGAAGAAACCUAUCAAUGUGCAAAACACCACUUAUUUGUGACUGAAGGGUUUUUGACAUUUAAUCUAACCAUUUAGGUAGUAAGUGUCUAACUAUCUCAGCCUUCUUAGCCAGUGUGUAUAGCCACGUUUGGAUCCCACCAGCCAAAGUUUAGCUGCCCAGCUACACAGCUAAACUUUAAUUGGGUGGUAGGUAAGACACUAGCUAAACUUUAGCUAAGAUCUAAACAAGUUUUCAACUAAAAGUUUAGAUGGGAUCCAAAGGGUCUGUAUCUUCGGGCCUGUUUGGGAAGGGCGUGUUAAAAUUUAACAGGGUGUUAAACUUUAACACCCUCAAAUGAGGUGUUAAACUUUAGUAUCUUGAGGUGUUUGGAUGAUCUGUUAAAAUUUAACACCUUAGGUUGUAAUUAACAACUUUACCCCUCAUUACUCCUCUCAAUGGCAGUCAAAUACCCCUUCUUCCUUCUUCUCCUUCCUCCUCCUUCCUUCUUCCUCCUUUCCUGCGCCUACCGCCUCCGGCCCCACCCCCUGCUCAGUCCACGCCGUGCCCGGCGCCGGCGCCGGCGCUGCCGGCCGCACCGUCAGCCCCUCCCCUACGCCUGCCGCCUCCGGCCCCGCCCCGCCGCCGGCGUCCCCUACCACGGCACCAGCGGCCGCGCCCGCCCGAGCCCCCAACGCCACCACCGCGCCGCCCGCCAGUCCCCACACCACCGGAUCGGCCUCGCCCGCGCCCGCGCGAGGCCGCCCGCGCGAGCCCGCCGCCUGCCGCCCAGCGCGGCAUCCCGGUGUAGGAGCGGCGCGGACCGGCGGUGGCGGGCAUAGCGGCGGCGCGCGAUGGGCGGACUGGCGGUGGCGCGCGACGUGCGGAUCGGGGAAGGAAGAUGGGGGCAGCGGAGGAGAGAGAAGAGGAGAGAGAGGGGGGCAACCAGGGAAUAAGUGGGGAGGGGGACCACUUUUAACACCUUUAGCACAUUUUAACACCCCCUCCAUGUGUUUAUGAAAAGAGAGGUGUUAAAUUUUAACACUUCAUCUUUAACACUUGUGUUUGGUAGCCAAGGUGUUAAAAAUGUGUUAAAAGGGGGGUGUUAAACUUUAACACCCCCUUCCCAAACAGGCCCUUCAUCUCCGCUAUCAGUAUUCCUCUUGCUCUCUGGCUUGCUAACACAAAACACUUGAUUUUGUGUGAAGCAAAAUAACUCCAUCACAUGGAACACACCAGCAAGCACAUCAUCCCUUAAUUUAAUGCAUGUUCUUGAUUUUUUUUCAAAUGAGAGAGACAGGCAACUUAAUGAUAGGUGACGAUGCACUCAUUACCGUGGGAUCUUGCUUUAUCAAGAGGCUACAUCGUUGGCGCCAUGCAUGCAUAUACUACUACUACUACACGGCAUUGCAUUGCAUUAACGUGGCAUGGAUCACGUAAGGAUAUGCAAAUUAACUCCGGCGCUGUUGAUGCAAAUGGGAGUAAUGGCGUGUACUGUUAGUACGUGCGGCAGCUGGUACCGGCAGAAUUAACCAGGGUUUCAAUGUCCCACGACGAUACGUGCAAGAAGCAAUCUCAACAGUGCAACGUUACUAACCCGCUAGUGCAGUAAAAUUGCCAAUAAUAGAUACUCCUUCCGUUCCAAAUUAUAGAUCGUUUUGACAUUUCUGUUUAUUAUACAUCUAGAUAUAUAUUAUGUCUAAAUUUAUAGAAAAAUUAUAAACCUAGAAAUGCCAAAACAACCUAUAAUUUGGGACGGAGGGAGUAGUAAAUAGAUAACCUCUCCAAUAGUGUCUAACUAUAUAAUUUUUUUUUACUAAUAUGAGCUGACAUGUAAUAGGGAUGUUCAUUGUUUGCACGUGUACGAGUGAGAAUGCAUUGUAGACUGACUACUAACCCCUACUCCGAUCCAUUUCAAAAUCAGAUUAAGGAGAGCAAUUAAUUAAAAACCUAAAAGUAUUCAUUUACGGUGUCCCGUUAAAUAUGUGGUUGAAGGUCCAAAUUUUUUUCAUGAAAUCAAAUUAAACAUGAAUGGACACCUACAUGCAUGUUAAAUUUUUACCGCCAGCCCCCUGCCAAAUGUAUUUACAUGCAAAUAAAUGCAGUUUUUUUUUAUGACAGUUAGAACUCAUAAAUACCAAUCUCUCUCUCUCUCUCUCUCUCUUCAUUUUCUCCGCCAUGUUGAUCAAAAUCUCUUUAAUGUUGAUAACUUAUAGCUAGCCGGCACUAUAUAUAAACCUUAACAUCUUAAUGCAUGCACUGUAGCACAAGGACGCCUCAUUAAUUUAUUGCCUGCUUACUUCAAUUAAAUCAAAAUUGGGCGCGCGAAAGACACGGCGCGUCGUACCGCGCAUUUGCAGUUCCGGAUCGGCGUGGCAGUUCAAAACUUUUACUGAUUUGCGUGCGUCCAGAGAUUGAUGAACUGCUUUUUGCCAGGAUGCACAUGAUGUGUGUUCUUGAGUUGAUGUGUGUUGUUGCUGGCGAGCCCAACAGAUAUAUAUCGCAUAAUCUCUUCAUUCUAAAUUAUAGGUCGUUUUGGCUUUAUUAAAUUCAUUGAUUUUGUUAUGCAUUCAGAUAUACCCUAUGUCUAGAUGCAUAAUAAUGGGCCUGCUCGCUUCUGCUUGUUGUAGCUGUUUGGCUGCGGCUGUACAGCCAAUCAACAAGCAGCAGCAGUACAUUUUUUCGAACAGUUGCAGCUGCAGCGUUACAUAAAAAUCACUACCGAACACAGCUAAUAUCUAUACAUCUAGAAAAACCAAAACGUUAUAUAACGUAUAUAAUGAAGUGCAAAUCAGACCGACCGAUUCGACCGACCGGUGGGAGAAAUCGAUCACACGAGGCAUUCGUUCACUCGUACGCGCGUCAUCAGGCGGGAUGAGACGAGCGUUGAAGCGCUGAGUUCGCAGCAGAGUUCUUUGCUGAAUCGCUGGCACUGCUGAUCGAGGAGCACUAUACUCUGUUCGACCGCGUCGCAUGCGUCUUGACGAGUAGCAGUUUGUUUUGAAGCUGCGCGUAGAUUUCUGUAUCGAUCGAUCGAGCUCCCAUUCACUGCAUCUGAAUGCAUCGUCGUCGUCGUCUCUGACUGAGCCGGCUAUCGUCUCUGACUCUCUGCAAGUGCCACGAGCCCAUUUUCGGGCAUUGCAGGCAGGCACUGUGUCGAUUGGUCGAUUUAAUUCCUCAGCUAGGAUGAAGUCUGCCUAUAUUAUACAUACAAUAAAUACUGUUCAUUGAUCGUCAGGGUCAGGCCAAGUAGUCAGAACUAACACAAAGCUGGGUCGAGGGCAUGCCUGAUCGAUCCAUCCAUCCCAUUAUGAAUGCCCAUGCACUGCUCCUCCGGUCAGCACCGAGCGCAGUUGCUCAGCGAUGGCCGAACUUUGUGUCAGCGCGUGGCUGUUUGGCGAUCAAUAUGCAGAUACGAAUAUAUUAUGGUUGCAAAAGAUACAGAUUAGGAUUGUCAGAGCUGGUUGGCACAUACACAGAUUACGCCUGUGCACGUUAAUAUAUUUCAGUGUCGUGUGCACGUAAGAUUCUACUCUGGAUCCUUUAGUUCUGACAAAUUAGCAGCUAAAUUAGUGGUAGGCAGAGACCGCUAACAAGUGCUAGUUAAGCUGAUAGUAGCUAUUAGCUACUCCCUCCGCUUUGAAUUGCAUAUUAUUUUAGUUUUUUAAUUCAUAAUUUUUAUUAUGCAUAUAUAUAUACACACACUAUAUGAUAUACACAAGUAAAAAUUAUGAAUGCUAAAAUGAUCUGCAAUUCGGGACGGAGGGGUCCUAUCUAUACUGGAUCUACGAAAAAAAAAACUCCAGCUAGUUCGUCAUCUCUGCUGUUUGGCUGGACCAGCUGAUCAGGUUUUUAGGACUGAUAUGAUGAUGAGAUAAGAGGGAUGUCGGACCGCACGUACGGAUGCGCUAGCUAGAGAGAGAUUCUUCGCUCAGCUGCAGCCUGCAGGCCUAUGUGAGCAUGUGCACACGUAUACGGUGGAGGGGUGUGUGGCUAGCUAGUGCGCGAGUCAUAUGGCCGUAGCUAGCAGGUAGCAUAGCAGUCAUUCAUAUAGUCUUCAGAGCUGCUACUACCAUGCCGGCGGGUACACUAGAGAAACGACGACGCUGGCAGCGGCAGCUAGCUCGCUGCGAUCAGAACCGGCCGGCUCAGGCGAGCAGAUCGCCGACCGCGGGCUCAGGCGGCGCUCGCGUUGUGUUCCGGCCGUGACGCCGGCGAUGAUUGGCGCGCGGCGGCUGGUAGUCCCUAUUAGCUACGUCAAGGGAUUGGCGCUGGCUGCAGGCCGGAUCCACGAAUCCAUCGACCGAUCGCCAGGCACCGCAUGGAUAAUGCAGCUCCGAUGAUCAUUCGAUUCAAGCGUGCGAUCUCCGCAAUUUAGUGCUCGGCUGGCUCAUUAAUAGGCGCAGCAGUUAUCCUACCAUGUGCUAAUGCGCCCGCUAGGAGCGUGGCCCUGGCCCUGGAGUGAUCUGAUCGAGCGCUUGUUUGAUGUGUGGGGAAGAGAACGAGAAGGACCAAAACUCCAAGAGCACACGCUGCAUGCACGUACGGCAGGGUCUGUCUGAUGCUGUCUCUCUCUCUCUCUCUCUGAAAAUCUGGUUUCUGUUUUUCUCCGACGAUUCUAGUGCGAAUUGAACUGAAUUUUAGUAGCAUCAUGAAAUUAAACUAGUACAAAAGGUACCGUAAAAAGUUUUACGUUCCAAACAUUAUUACCGGGCUGGUACGACAGGUCAACCAUGACGCGCCUGAGAUUUCCACCACCUUAACCUCAUGCGGCCAGUGAUGACUUGGGGGUGAUAGAGUUGCUCCUUGGGUACAUUUUGCGGUCUGAAGCAGAGUACGAUUCGGUGGGUGCUGAUUGGCAGGCAGCCGCUGCGCCUGCGCUCCUCUGGGAAUUCAACGCGUCCCUGCAGCGGACUGAUCGAGCCGGUCAUCUCCUGUGGUCUCUGCUCUCGCCCCGUAGCUAGCGAGCGAGCUAGAGCUACAGGGCACCUAGCUGUGGCCGAUCAGAAAUUCAGAAUGGAGAUGGGCCCUCUCUGCUAGCCCAUCCUUUUCUCGCUCCGAUAGUCCGAUCCGUGCCCAGCUUUUGCUACGAUCUCGCGAUCAAUCCAGCACACCAAGGACGGAGGAGUUCAGAGGAGACUGAGCAUACUACAGCUUUUUACCUUUUCACCGAGUCGGAAUUCUGCGCUGCAGUAAUUUCUCUCUCUAUCUUUGCUACCUAGGCCGGCCUUGUUUAGUUACUCCAAAAUCCAUUAUGUAAAAAGAAGAUUCCCCAUCACAUCAAAUUUACGGUACAUACAUGGAGUACUGAAUGUAGACGAAAUAAAAAACUAAUUGCACAAUUUGGUUGUACUUUGCGAGACGAAUCUUUUAAGCCUAAUUAGUCAAUAAUUGGGCAAUAAUUUACAAAUACAAACGAAACGCUACAGUGACUAAACAGGCCCUACCUGCAGUAAGAAAUUAGCGUCGUCAUAUCGUUGACUACUGUUAUGUUUUGGCCACCAUUCUGUGUGCUACCAUGCAAAAGUCACCGAGCUACUACUACCCACUGCCCACUGGGCCGAGAAAAAAAAAAUCGACGGCCAUGGGUUCUUCUGCUAGCCUGCUAUUAGACCAGAGCCGUUUCCGGGACACUGUAGCUAGCAUUCACUUCUUGGGCUCUUGGCGCUGGCAACAUAGCAGGUAGGGACGAAAGCUCGGAAAUAUUUGAAAAAUUCUCAUUAUCAUUUCCUACCCACAAUCUUUUACUUGAAAACCAAAUCAGCAAUAAUAAGUCCGGAAAUAAUAGUGGUAUGGUAUAUCGAAAAUGGAAUCAUCGGAUCGAAAACAUACUGAUAUCGUUUGAAACCGAUAACUCGAAUCAAAAGCUGUGCACGCGUGAUUACGCAUGACGAGAAUAAUUCCAAUAACCAAAGAUCAUAUAUUCAUACACCAUGACAAUGCAGAAAACAAGAAAAAUAAUAAGGAUGGGGGUCCAUUUUCAUGUGCAGAAAAAAAGGAACAAGAAUUAAUUUGGGAAAGGAAAAAAAAUAGAAGAACGUGGCCGGAUUAAUAAUUUCCAUGUGCAGCCGGCUGCACACGACUACAGGGUUCGAUCGAAUGCACUCCGUGCGGGAUGGCAAGCACGUACUGUGCAGCGCUCACCCAAAUCCGGCCCACACAUGAGCUGUGCUUUUGGGCCAUUUUGGGCCUCAAUGUUUAAGGUCUGGGCCUUCUUGGAAAUUCAAAAUUUCAACCAAAACUUUCCGAGUAAAAACGAUCAUUCGGUGGUAUCCCAUUUCGUUUCCAACAGUUUUUUUUUUCACCGUGGUAUUGUUCCGAGGCAUUUCACAGUCUCUCAUAUUCUGCAUAUAAACGAUCCUUGUCGAUCGAAAAUUUCCAUCGUCGUUUUCACCCCUAGUAGCCUCCAAUCCCAAAUAUAUACUAUAUUUUACCUUGGACACACGAAUUAAGGCUUUUAAAAAAACUGUGGAAAAAUCGUACACGUUAUGGCCCCCAGACUCGAGAUUUGCGUGCAACACAUUCUCCAUAAUAAAAUGUUUUUCUUGACGUUUCGCUCUAGUUGCAACUUUCCAUUUUUCUCAUGCAUGAAGACCCUGCAAUGUUCUAUAACUGAUCACUACUUGUCAGGCAACUCGAGCAGAUUUAAAUAUUCGAUGGACUCUGAAAUAUUAUAUAUAGGUUCUGUUUGGAUCCAUGGACUAAUUUUAGUCUUGCACUUUUAACUUAAAAUUUAACUCUUAGGAUCCAAACAGGAGGGCUAAAAGUGACAAAUAACUAAACUUUGGGAGCUAAAUUUUAACUCCCAAAGAGACCUUAAAAGGAGCUAAAAGUGCUCCUGGACACUCCAUACCCCUGCUAAGCACUUUAAAUCCCACAGCCCCUUUUCGCUUUUAUUUUUUAUAAGAAUUUGAUGAGCUAGCUAUAUGGAUUUUUCACAACCAACAGUAAGCGGAAAGCGUACUUGUAAAAGCGCUUCAUGAGAUGUGAUGCAUUCUCUUCGCUCACACUUGCUGGCUGGCCGCUUUGCCGCCGCCUAUAAAUGAGCCUUUCCCACGAACAAAGGAAAUUCCCCAGUUCCCUCCACUUCAUCUCCUCGCCGUCGCCCGUCGGAGCCGAAGGUUCGACCCGGCGCUUCCUCGCCGUCGGAGACCGACGAAUGGCCGGGACGGCGUCCGUGGAGCGCGUGAAGGACCGCGCCACAGGCCUCGACAAGUUCGUCCUCCGCGAGGCCCGGGGCAGCUCCGUCGAGGUCAGGUCACCCCUUCCGCCGCCUCACCGUCACCUGAUCACCUCUAUCGAAAUCUCUAUUCCUCGAUUGUGUUCUUCGCAAAAAUUAUCCGGUCUUAAUCAUCGUUCCGCGCCGUCCUACAAAUUGAUUUCGCUUCGUUAUAUUACAGAACUCUGCCAGCAGUCUCGAUCGCGGUAGGGUAAAUGGGUGGUUAGAAUUUGGAGGAAUUGUAUUUUUUUCGGUAAAUGAGAGUUAUUAGAGGGAUGGCCGUAAUGGUCAUAGGGUGGUCAAGGAACAGUACGUGUUGUGAGUUGUGACCAUGUAGUGGGGAGGUAGGUUGGCCAGAGGCAGCGCCAACCUAGUGUUUGACCCUUCGCUUAUCGAUGGAUCAUUUCGCUCUCCAUAAAUUAUUAUCGGUUGAUUUGAUCGUUCAGCAAUCUGGAUACAUGGUUGGCCGUGGGUGGGUUUCCGUGAUGCUUUCUUUCAGCUGCGGUUUGGGCUGGACUAGUUAAUAUUUGUUUUUUUCCCGAUAGCAUUUUGUAUUUCUUUGGUCAAUUUUUUUUGUCUCCACCCAUAGCUACUUGGUCAUGGUUGGACAUUGUCCAAAAAAAAAUAUUUAAAAUAUUUUGAUGCAUAUGCAGAAAUAUAGUUUCUGAAUACGCAGAAGGGUCAGGCCUGGCAUAUUCCGGGAAAAAAAAGAAUGGUCAUGUCACGUCUUUUUGGUUUAUCUGCCUCUGUUUUAUGUUAAGGUUCUGGAGACAGCUAGAUAGCUUACGGGUUUUAUAUCCUAUCAGGAUAUUGACCUGACACUCGUGGCAUGUCACAUUGGUGUGGAACUGUGGAUAACUGAACAUUUCCUUUGAUCAAAACCAUCAGCGUCCACACUCUGCUAGACUGGAAGUUUUCUUCUAUAAUCUAUACAAUCUAUAAUAAAAGAUUGGAUGGCUAGUAAUAAGGCCCAUUUUGUUCAUAGUUUGCUUUUUGGCACCAGCUUACUUUUCUUUGUCUAACACAAAGUAUGACCUUACUAGUGUGUAAACUGUUCAACUCCAACAAUUGUUAUGUAAGAACUAGAGGUCCAAAUAACAGAUUAUAUCUUAUCUUUCCAACAAUCAUAAUUCAGCUGGGCCCUGAGAUACAAGUCUAUCUUGAUUUUGAUCAGCUUCUGAAAAAUCAACGUGAAAGUGAAAAGAACAAUAAAACUACUAGAAUUCUUUACCUAAUUAAUGCAGUGGUCAUUGCUUGCUUAUUCUCUGGCCAUCGACGCAAGAAUAUAUGGACAUUUCAGCCAUAGUCAUAAGUUGGCCAAAACUGUUUUUACUUUUGACGCUCAUCUUGGAAGUGAUAUUAUCCCUCAACAAGCAUCUGGCAUCCUCUCAGUUUUUAUUUUCAACUGUUAACAGGUAUAUCUAUAUGGAGGUCAAGUGACAUUUUGGAAAAAUAACUUCGGUCACCAACUGCUUUUUGUCAGUAACAAGGUAUUCAGACCUUUUAGUUUCAGCAACAACAUUUGUGUAUGCCUAGAUGGAUAUUUCAUGGGAUGAUAGCUCUUUAGAAUGUUUUAUGUUUGUCCUUAUUUUAUUAUAUCAGGUGCUAUUCUUCAUUUUGUUAUCAUGUUGGCAUUGGACAAUGUUAGGAGUAGGCUAUCAUUUUUAACUCUUUAACCUUCAGCAUUAUGUUACGUCAAUACCAAUGCUAGACGAUCCACUGGUAAUAGAAGGUUCUAUAUUAAGUCUGCUUUCCUUUUAUUCAAAGUGCUGCAAGUUUCCACAAUGUACAUGUGGUUUGAGUUUGACUCCAUCACUAGUAAUUAUAAAUUUCAAUUUUUUUUGCCAGGCUACUUUUAAACCGCCAAAAGCAAUUCGUGGUGGCAUCCAAAUUUGCUUCCCUCAAGUAUGGUCAUCAAGCUGUUAUAGUCAUGUUUCCCUUGAAAGCAGUUUGUCUAGUAACACCCAGAUUAACAAUUCCAUCUUGCAGUUAGGUAGCCAUGGAGCUCUUGAACAGCAUGGAUUUGCAAGGAACCAAUACUGGAGUGUCGAUGAAAGUCCACCUCCUUUUCCAGUUGCUACUUCCAAUUGCCAUAUUGACUUGAUACUCAAGUCGUCUCAAGAGGAUUUGAAGAUCUGGCCCCAUAGGUCACCAUCUAGUUAAUCAUUGAAUUAUCCAAUUGCUAUGUCAGAUAAAAAGUACCACUAUAUUCAUCUGGCCUCCCCCACUGAACUAACUGUGUUCAUCGUUCAUGAUUUGCAGUUAUGAAUUUCGUCUGAGAGUUGCUCUUAGUCCAAGGGGAGAUCUUAUCCUCACAUCUCGAAUAAAAAAUGUCAGCUCUGAUGGCAAGCCAUUCCAAUUUACAUUUGCAUACCAUACCUACUUUUCGGUAUCUGAUAUCAGGUACAUUGCAAAAUGGUAUUUUGCAUAAAGUUAUUUUCAGUAUUUCUUACGGUUCCUUGAGUGUAAAAAGACGGAUAACUGAUAGGAAACUUGCUUCAAUACUGAGUGAUGUUGAUUUUUUUUCCUCGAACAUGAGUGAUGUUUUUUUAGGAACUGAUGAAUUUCUCACCUUCAGAUUCAGGCUCUGAGUUAUUAUUGUUAUGUUGCAAUGAAAUCUAAAUCCUUUUCUUUUGGAAAACAAAGAGAUUGUAUACGAGGAACUUCUUACCUUUGAAUACAAACCUCAGACACUACAACCUUACCUUGUGCUUUAUGAAUAGACCAUAUUGUUCCUGCGAAAAGAUUGUUCAGUCCACCAGAUAGAUAUACAUGGAACAUUGGCUAAUUUCUGUUUCAAUUCCCUGAAAUAUGUUUUCACAUUCCAGUGAAGUGCGGGUUGAAGGUUUGGAGACCUUGGACUAUCUUGACAACUUGCAAUCCAAGAAUCGUUGUACUGAACAAGGAGAUGCAGUUGUAUUUGAGUCUGAAGUAAGAUUGUGUUCUACUAAACUUCAUGGUUUGAUGCCAUUUCAGUGCCAAUGAAACUCUAAUUAUGUUCAUGUUGAACAAGGUGGACAAGAUAUAUUUGAGUGCUCCACCAAAGAUUGUCAUCAUUGAUCAUGAGAAGAAAAGAACGUUAGUUUUGAGGAAAGAGGGACUUCCAGAUGUUGGUGAGUUAGGCCAAUUCUUUCUCACAUUACAAUCUUGAUCUGUGGUUCCUCGAAAAAAAAUCUUGAUCUGUGAAAUUCUGUCUCCAAACUAUGCCCAGCUAUUGCUUUUGAUCUCUUUUUUCAUUCUCAUGGUAUAAAUUGUUGCCACUGCUCAUUUUGCAGUCGUUUGGAACCCUUGGGACAAGAAGGCCAAAGCAAUGCCAGAUUUCGGGGAUGAUGAAUACAAAAACAUGCUAUGCGUAGGGGCUGCAGCUAUUGAGAAGCCAAUUACUUUAAAGCCAGGUAAAGAGUGGCUAGGGACGCAGGAAAUUUCCGCUGUACCAUCCAGUUACAGCAGUGGACAAUUGGAUCCUGAAGUGAUUCGUCGGAUGCACACAAUCUAAGCUUCUCGAUGAUUUCCUCAUAUGUGAGUAUUCUGGAACUUACUCUGAGUCCUUGUGUCAGAUUAGCAAAUAAAUUGUGAACCACAAUCUGGUCUAAAAUUAUAAAGCCACUCAUUUACUUGUAAAACCCUUUAUAACAUAGAUGGUGGAAAAUAAUUCAUGAUUAAAAAUGGGCAUGUAGUCACGAAACAGUCUCUACAUGAGCUCAUGUAUAACACUUUGGUCCUUGUUACAGGAUAGCUGAUAGCUGGUAAUUAUACAAUGCUUAAUGUAAACAUUCUUCCUUACAUGCCAAUCAAUGUCAACAGUUCUUCAAACCAACUAUACCUAGCUUUAGUAGCUGUCUGGCCAAGAUUGACAUACUUUUGCUUCCGCUAACUCCAACUAAGCUACUACGAUAUUUCCCUAGAUCUUAGUUACACGUGGUUUCUCCCGAGAGCUAAAAGUAUGUGGAUUUUUUCAAAACUGUUCUUGUUUCAAAUGAUCUCUGGUAACUGUAGUUUUCUUCCAUUUUCUAAGUUACAGUAUUUUGCUGCAGGAAGACUCCCGCGACUCUGAAUUUGAUAAUUUUGAAAUCUUGUCCGUGGACUUCUAAGUUUCUGUUUUCCUGUCCAAUUCCAAAGUAGCCUGUGGUUUUUCUAGAGCAACAUUGGGAUUGAAGUUACCAUGUGUUCAUACUAAAAAAAGAUGGAGAAUUUUUCAUCCAUGUUUACGGCCAGAGGGGACAUUCUGUAUCAGUCAUGUAUACCAAUAUACCAUACGGCUUUGAUUUUUCUUUUCUGGAACCGCGUUUGUAUUGCAUUGCAAAGGGAGCCAAGUUUGUACUGCCUGUGGCAAACAAAAAUAUUACGACAUUAAUUUUGAGGCUGUAUUGUACCGUAGGGGUGUUUGGAUCUUGGAGCUAAAGUUUAGUCCGUGUCACAUCGAAUAUUCGGAGACUAAUUAGAAGGAUUAAAUAUGAGUUAAUUAUAAAAGUAAUUACACAGAUGGAAGCUAAAUGACGAGACAAAUCUAUUAAGCCUAAUUAAUGCAUUAGCGAAUGGUUACUGUAGCAGCACAUUGUCAAAUCAUGAACUAAUUAGACUUAAUAGAUUCGUCUCGCUAUUUAGCCUCCAUCUGUGCAAUGAGUUUUAUAAAUAGUCUAUGUUUAAUAGUCCUAAUUAGUAUCUAAACAAGCGUAACGUGUGUUCCGUUCUCUGGUACCUGGAGCAUAUCUGGAAAUGGAUAUGGAGCUGAUGCUGUCCAUUUAUCACGUUACUGUUGCCGAAAGGCUCUAUCAGGGAUCCUGUUUGGCACAGACUUUUGCCUCACUCUCGCUCACAUGACACAUCAAGCUCUGUAGUCAGGUCCAAUAAUUCUGAAAACGCUACACUGUGAGAAGUCAGUGCCGAGAGCAGUCAGAUCAAGGAACAAAAAAAGGCAGAGAAAAUUUAGAAAUUAAAUCUGAAUAAUUCUGGUUGCAUUUUUUCUCUGCACCAUUUCCUAGUCACUGAAAAUUCUAAUUCCCCCCACCCGUCUAGUUACGUUCGGAGUAUGACGAAUUUGGUGCGUACAUCUUUUUGUCGGCGGAUCUUUUGUAACUGGAUGGAGAGAUUAAUACAUUUUCAAAUUUCAAACCACAAGAUAAUGUUAUUGUUCAUGGGGCAUCAGACAUUUGGAACCUCGCAAAAAGAAAAGAAGUUUCGAAUCUUGCAAAAGACCUUGCAGACGUUUGGAAUCCCGCAAAAGACCUUUUUUGGUGGGGGGGGGGGGGGGGCAAAAACGUCAAUAAUGGCAAAUUAUCAAUGGAAACCUCCAAUCAAACCUCUCUCCUCUCAUCUCGAGAUUUAAAAAAUAAAAAUAAAAACUCCAUCUCUCUCUGCGCUCCCGUCCUCUUCUUCGAAUCCGGCGGAGGCGUGGAGCUCGUCAGUCGUCUACCUCCGACCAAGAUCUGGGAGCAGCAGGCGUCGCGACUCCCGACGCGUCCUUCUCCCAGCCAACCUUGCUCCUCCUCCCGCGCCCUCGCUGGAUCUGGACGAGCGGAGGGGCGCCCGCUGUCCGAAUCGAGCCUUCGGCGCCCGUCGGGGGAGAAGCAGGCGGCGCGUCCAGUGGGCUCGAGCCCUCCGCCCAUUUUCCAUCUCGCCGGCAGCGUGGAGAACCAGUGAGGGGAUCGCACGUCGGCUGCCGAGCAACCGCCCACACCCCUGCAGGCAGGCAUGCACCCUUUACUCUUCCUCCUCGCCUCUCUGGUACCAUGAUUUUAUUUUUGCCGAUUACAAAAAUACCACCGGAUUCCUUGUCUUCACUUGUUCUGGUUUCUGCUGUGAAGGGUAUCAAACUAUCAGCUAAAUAGUUGUCUGGAUUUGUAUAAAACUUUGCGGUCUAUCCUUGAACUGAACUUUACUAAAUUCCUGCUACCUUAAAUUACAGGAGCAUCAUUAUUUCUAGAACACUAUCUGCUUUAUAGUGUACAGCAAUGUCAGCCUCCACUGCUGCGAUUCCAACUGCGAAUACAAAUGGGAACCAUGCAUUAAGUUUGGACUCACAUUCUAGCCAAGAUGUUAGGCGACGGACAGUUGUUGUUGCAAAGAAGAAAGCCUCGCCUGAGCUUCUCGCUGAAGGUGGAGUCAAUGGGAUUUCAGAAGAUAAGAUUGCAAGCAAGAAGGAUCUUAGUCAUACUAUCCGUGGAGAAUCAGUUCUUGACAAGCCAAAAUAUUCAUCAGAGGCAAGGAAAGAUGCGGUUGCUUCAGCAGCUGCUGAACGUCGAAAGAAAAUCUCUACUAAACAAGAAAAGGCCAAGUGGGUAACUGCCUUAAGUGUGCUGGUGAAACUGUGCCUUCUUAUUUCAGCUAUCACUUGGAUGGGGCAGUUGGUUUGGAGAUGGCAAAAUGGUGAAUUAUCAUUUACAACACUGGAUAUGGAGAGCAGGCUAUCCAAGGUGGAGGGGUUCAAGAAGACAACCAAGAUGCUUCAAGUACAGCUGGACAUUUUGGAUAAGAAGCUAGGAAAUGAGAUUGACAAAACAAAAAGGGAUAUCACCAAGCAAUUUGAGACCAGAGGUAAUGAGUUAGAGAAAAAGAUGAAGGCAUUGGAAGACAAAACUGGAAAGUUAGACAAGUCAAUAGCUGAGCUUAGGGACAUGGGAUUUCUUUCUAAGAAAGAAUUUGAGGAGAUUUUGAGUCAGUUGAAGGAAAAGAAGGGAUUGGGUGGUACAGAUGAUGACAUAACCUUGGAAGAUAUAAGGCUAUAUGCCAAAGAGAUAGUUGAGAUCGAGAUAGCAAGGCAUUCUGCUGAUGGCCUUGGUAUGGUGGAUUAUGCCCUCGGAUCUGGUGGUGGAAAAGUAGUAAGUCAUUCAGAGCCUUUCAUGAAUGGCAAGAACUAUUUCCAUAGUCGCAACAGUGUGCAUAAAACAGCCCAAAAGAUGCUGGAGCCAAGUUUUGGGCAGCCAGGAGAGUGUUUUGCGCUGAAGGGAAGUAGUGGGUUUGUGGAUGUGAAGCUAAGAACAGGAAUAAUUCCUGAGGCGGUCACUCUAGAGCAUGUUGACAAGGUAAGUUUAUUGUGCCAAAUAUUCAUGUUAUCUAAUGAGUAAUUAUUAUUCAUUUCACAUUUUCAUAGCUGGUUAAUUUCUGUAAAAUUGAGUGCUAAUGUUCCUGUAGCAAACAUAUAUCCCACUGAAGUUGGUAUCUAGUCAGCCACAAGGCAUCUGCCAUAUGUCAUCAGCCACUAAUUUAGUUUCCUCUGUCAAUUAGUCAGUUCAGAAACAGUUAUCAUGUUUGUGUGCAGUCUCACUAUAGUUGCACCACUUGUCGCUGAUCAGCAAUUCUGCUUCGGGUUCCAUUCCAAUGAUCUCACUCUGUCUGCUCUCACUCCUGAUCUAAUCCAUGAGGCUAAACUUAGAAGCUUAGAUGCUGUUACUGUCAUGAACAUAUCAGAUUUGAUUUUUUUAGAAAAUGGAAUUGUCUCCGGCCUCUGCGACCGCACAUAGCCAAGUUCUUACAGCAAAUUCAGCUUAACAGCUGAUCACUGAAAUGAAAAUAAAAGUUGACUUAUCUUAAGGGAAAAAAUCAUAAGCAAAGUCUAUUAUUGCUUCUCCAUCCAUUCUUGGUGAAGAUAUCCAAAGCGACGACUUCCAACGCUUUACUCGCCACCCGAAUUGAUUCCCUUGUGUCUUCACGCUGCAACAGGGACCAAAACUGUAGCCAAUUAGCUCCCCUGAAUACCACCUGCAUAAAAGAAGUGAACUUUUUUUUCUCAAAAAUUAUAUCAUUUCGAGUACACCAAAUCGCCCACAUAAGAGCAGCAACCCCCACAAAGAUCAAACGUCUUAUCUUAUUAUCUAUGCCCGUUAACCAAUUCCGUAGCAUAUGAUUUAUAGACCUAAGUGGAGUCAACCCGGUAGCAAUAUAAACAAUCCUCCAAAUAGCUUUUGCAUGAUGACAAUCAAAAAAUAGAUGCUUGAUUGUCUCAUUACUAUCACAAAAGCAACAUUUUUUACUACCCUUCCAAUUUCUCUUGACUAGAUUAUCCUUUGUUAAUAUUACACCCCCACUGGAUGAACCAAAGGAAAAUCUUUAUUUUUUAGAGGAAUUUUCAAUUUCCAAAUAAAAUUUUGGGUGAAAGGGAUACCCUGGAUCAUCAUAUAUUGGUACAUAGACCGAAUCGAAAACAUGCCGUUAUUAUGUAGCUCCCAAUGGAACCUGUCUCUCUCAGGAGUUAGCUGGUAGUCAACUACUUUAGCCACCAGGCUAUUCCAAGCCACCAAUUUAUCCCCAAUUAACACCCUUCAAAAGGAAAUAUUUAGUGGCAUUUGAUUCAUAACAUUAGCCAUGGUCGUGUGAGGAUAGUAGGUAAUAUCAUACAAACUUGGGAAUUGCUCUUUAAGUGGUUUUGACCCUACCCAAGUGUCUUCCCAGAAUCUAGUUUGCGAACCAUCUUUUAUUUUGAAUGUCCUGCAUCCUAGAAAUCUUUCCUGACUUUUUAAUAAACCUUUCCAAAAAUGUGAGUCCCCAGGUUUAAUUUUAACCUGCGUCAAACAUUUGAACUUAGAUAUUUAUUUCUAAGUAAGGUUUGCCAGGUCCCCUCUUCAUUGAGUAAUUUGAAUAACCAUUUGCUUAGGAGGCAUUUGUUUUUAAUCCAGAGAUCUGUUAUUCCCAACCCUCCUUGGUCUAUGGGUCGACACAAGAUGUCCCAUUUGGCUUGGCGAUAUUUUUGUUUGUUAUUGUUACCUUGCCAAAAGAAUCUUGACCGAUAGAGAUCUAGAUUUCUUAGGACCCCUUUUGGGAUUUCGAAAAAGGACAUCAUGAACAUAGGAAGGCUGCUCAGCACUGAAUUUAAUAACACCAGCCUACCACCAUAUGAUAGGUGUUUUGCCUUCCAAGUACUUAGUUUUUGUUUGAAUCUAUCCUCAAUUGCACCCCAUUCCGCAUUACGGAGUUUACAAUGGUGCAUCGGGAUCCCUAAGUACCUGAAAGGAAGAUCCCCUCGAUCGCAUCCAAACAGCUCAGUAUAAUGCUGUUCGUAAUAUUUGGCCUCUCCAUAACAAAAAAUCUCACUCUUGUGAAAGUUAAUUUUGAGACCCGACAACUGUUCAAAGACACUGAGCAAUAAUUUCAUAUUUUUAGCUUGCUCCAAAUCAUGAUCCAUGAAUAUGAUUGUAUCAUCUGCAUAUUGCAGAAUAGAUAACCCAUCAUCCACCAAAUGAGGAAUGACCCCUCUAAUUUGGCCAUCUUCCUUUGCUCUCUUAAUCAAAAUAGAGAGCAUGUCUACCACAAUAUUAAAUAAUAUUGGUGAUAUAGGAUCUCCUUGUCUAAGACCGUUUUUUUGUUUGGAAGUAGUGCCCAAUGUCAUCAUUAACUUUUAUGCCCACACUCCCUCCUGAAACAAAAUUUUCAAUCCAUGUGCACCGUUUCCGGCUAAACCCCUUAAGGCCUUGUUCAGCAGCAAAGGAACGGUUCCAGACCAGGAACGGUUCCAGGCCAGGAAUCAGUGGAUCCGGCCCUUUCACUCAUUCCUGGCGUGGAAUUAAUCCAGCAGGAAUGCUUCUAAGCAAGCAAUUAUCAUGCAUUCGGCAGCAAAGGAUUGGAUCCUGUCACUUCAGUUCAAAACUUCAGCCAUACACAAUGUCACCAUAAACUACAAUGUUCAAUUCACGUUGUUCAGAUAAAUAUUUGCUGCAGGACAUUGUUCACUGAAACUUUGUGAGAAAACAACUUCAUCCAUACACAAUUUUUAAUCAAGUGAGAAAAACAUGAAUAACUACCAGCAUAGGAAACAUCGUGAAUUUCUCAGGUACACGUUGUUGCAUACCAAACAUUUUUAAUCAAGUGAACCAUUCCAUCACUGACAGGAACCAUGACAUAACUCAGCAUCUGGUAACAUAUAGUAGCAUCUAGGAGAGAGUCUUGUUAAUCCAAACUUGUAGAAGUAAUCAAUUACUUGCAGGAGGUAAACCGGCGAAGCCCUUCAACUCAAUGGAAAUGUAAGUGUUCCAGAUCUGAAAUUGCAACGACGAAAAAAAAUGUCAGUUUUAAUGCACAAGAAUUGGCAAUAAAAAAAUGUCAGUUUUUAUGCACAAGAAUUGGCAAUAAAAAAUGUCAUGUUUUAACACUUUAACUUGACUGAAUUCAUAUCUUAAGUGUAAAAAAAGAGAAGAGCAACAGACGUGUGAAAUCUUAACAAACAUCUAUUUUGAAUGAAGCACAGCAUCACAAGUUGAUGUUAACUCAACUGAACUCAUAUCUGAAGCGUAAAAAAAGAAAAGUGCUAACAGACGCAUGAAACAUACAGAAAGAAACAUUUGUUUCUGAACGAGGUAGAGCAUCACAAUUUGAUGUUGAGUAACUCAACUUAAUCCAUAUCUGAAGUGUAAAAAAAGGGGAGUGCUAACAGAAACAAGAAACAUACAAAAUUUGAUUGAGGGCUGUUAAAGGGAGAGUCCACUACGAAAGCAUAUUGGAAUGGUCAGCCAAGAACAAAGUGUCAUGGAGGACCAAAUUACAAAGAACCUAUGGUACAGGACAAACAAAAAAUAACUGAAGUCUCUUGGCGGUGAAUCAAAGUGUCAAAACUGAAUUUUCUAAACUUAACAGUUAAGAUGCUAGGCAUGUGUUCUAAGAUGCAAAAUUUUCAUAUACAGUAUACUGACAAUUGCGAAGUACAGAGUAUAAUCAGAUAGGUUCAGACACCAAGAAACAUCUUGUAUGAAAACUAAGAAACGUACAAAAUCUCACAUGUGAAAACCAAGAAACAUACAGUCACACGUUAUCUGACACCACUUUGGUCGUAUCAUAAAAAAGAAACUAGAAGAUUCAGCCAAAAUACGAACUGCAGUCCAGUUUUCAGAAAAACAGAUGUUACAAUCCUCGCAGUUUAUGGUGAUUGAUUCAAUUGAAUACGACAAAGUACCAGACAGUGUUAGCAAUAUGUCACUAUCAUGUCUAGCAAAAUACAACUGAACAUCAGCUGAAGUUAAGGAUACAGCUUGACAGACUCUACCACCAAAAACUUAAGAAUAGCUUGCUACGUCCUGCAACAGUUUCGUAGAUUGACCAUCAAGAGCAAGAGCAUAGAAGUAUUUGUUGGCGUGAAAGCUAACUGCAUGUCCUACGGGUUCCUACCAGUGGUUGUCAUACAAAUUGAAAACCAUAACUAUACUGAUGCUAGUUUCAAUUUCUAAAGCAAAACGUCUACAAGAAAAUCUACACACAAACCAGGGCCUGUGCUAUCAGGUUCAGAGAAUCACAGCAUGCGGCAGGCACUACACACACAGUCAUCAUGUUCCAAUCCAAGCCCAAGCCACCAUCAAAAUCAAAAGCUUCCCCAGCAAUAAGCAAUAGCAAUCCACAGAGUAGCAUUGUGAUUUACCAAAGCAUAGCAAAGCAAAGGCGGCGCCUCCCCUGGAGAAAGAAAACCCCACUCCCAACUCCCUCCCCUCUCCUCCGCCCACAUGGCGCCUGAGGUGCAGGCCUCCCUAUUACCCUCCCCCCUUGCCAGUUAACUCGCAUGGACGCAGCUGCCGUUGGCAGCUGCUCCAAAUCAAGAGACAAGAAUAAGGAACGCGAGGGUGGGAGAGGAGGGCACGACUUACUGGCGAGAAGGGGGCGGAGAGCGUGGACGUCGAACGGGAUGCGGUCGUCGUCGUUGUAACCGUCGCGGUGGUGGCUGUCGGGGAUGUGCCGUGCCGCCGCGCUGCCACCUCGCGGCGCCGCCAGCUCCGCCUCGUGUCGUUGCCUCGCCAGGAUCCGUUCCGGGAGGGAUGAGGUUGGGAUGUCUUCCGGGCCGUGGAGGUGAGGAAAUGGCCGUUUGUAGCCUGUUUCAUUCCCGGGCUGGUCCAAACCGAACGGGCUUUUCGUUGUGGGGUGGUUUCCAAUCCGGCUGGAAAUGAUACAGGUGGAACGGGCUGUUACAGGCCUCAUUCCGGGAUAACCGAACGGGCCCUAAUUCUUGAGAGUUUGCUGGAGAAAAGACCAUUUUUAGUUUAUCAAAGGCCUUCUUGAAAUCAAUUUUGAGUAUCACUCCAUCAAGUUUCUUUGAAUGUAAUUCAUGAAUGGUUUCAUGUAAAAUCACAACACCUUCCAUAAUAUUUCUUCCAAGCAUGAAUGUUGUUUGAGAAGGUCUGACAAUUUUGCUGGCCACUCCCAUGAGUCUAUUGGUAGCAACCUUAGUAAAAAUUUUAAAGUUUACAUUAAGCAAGCAUAUGGGUCUAUAUUGUUGUAUUUUUGUUGCCUCAGUUGUCUUUGGCAGUAGUGUGAUUACUCCAAAAUCGAGACUAUGUAACGGGAGACACCCUUCCAAAAAAUCUCUGAAAAGUGCCAUCAAGUCCGAUUUUAUAAUUUCCCAGAAUACUUGGUAAAACUCUAUAGGGAAACCAUCGGGCCCGGGAGAUUUAUUAUGUUCCGUCCGGAACACCGCCUCCUUUACUUCCUUCUCCGUGAAAGGUGCCGUGAGAAGGUUAUUUUCCUCCUCUGACACCUGAGGUAUGUCUUGAUUAUGAUGUUCCACUGGGCUAAAAUUAUUUUCUUCUGGUGGUCCAAAAAGACCCUUACAAUAAUUUGUGAUAUACGCUUUUAAUUCAGCAUCACCAACAAUAACUCCAUCUUCUUGCUCUAAUUUGAAGAUGUGUUGUUUUCUAUGUUUACCAUUAGCAACCUAAUGGAAAUAUUGGGUAUUAUCAUCCCCUUCCAAAAGGUCUUUGGUCUUGGUUGUCUCGUACCAUUUUAUCUCUUCUUCUCUCAACAACUGAACUAAUCGUUCAUUGAGAUAGUGUUUUACAUUUAGCUCUUGGUUCGAGAGCAUGUUGACUUCUGCCUUUUUAUCAAGGUCAUCAAGACUAAAAUCUUUUUCUCUUUUAUUAUGGCCUGAUAUAUUUUUGGCCCAACCUCUCAGGAAUUGUCGGAGAGACCGUUUUUUUUUUUUGCCAUUUUUCCAUGGCAGUGGCACCUUUGGUUUCCUCUUGCCAUUUAUUAGCAACUAGAUUGUAAAAACAAUCCCUUAUCAGCCAACCACGUUCGAAUUUGAACAGUGUUGGAGGCCUGUUAUGAGACGAGGAACCUGUGUUUAGUAAUAACGGUGUAUGGUCCGAAUUACUCCUAUCUUUUGCCUGAACAGUAGUGAGAGGGAGUUUUUGCUCCCACUCAGUAAUGACUAACACUCUAUCUAGUUUCUCGAAGGUUGGGUCAUUCCCACUACUCGCCCAAGUAUAAUGACGACCAGACAUAUCUAUUUCCCUGAGAUCUAAUGAUUGAAUGACCAUGUUAAAAAGAUCAGGCCAUUUUGCAUCAAAGUUGUCCUUAUUUUUAUCUUCUGGACGACACAUAAUAUUAAAAUAUCCACCAAUAAUACUACACGAAUGGGCCAUCUCUGUUAAAAAUUUAUCUUUAUCAUGCUGUUGUGCAGGUCCAUAAACUGCAAACAAAGCCCAUUUGAAGCCAUCAUUUUUAGUGUGAAGUGUGAAUUUCACAUAAAAAUCACCCUCAUCUAUGGCCCCAAUGUCAAACACCAGGAGAUUAAUGCCGAGGAGAAUUCCCCCGGAUCACCCAUGUGGUGCCAUGCGUGCCAAAUAUAUUCUUUGCCACCACAUAAUUUUUUAAGGGUCCCAUCAAGGAAAUGAUCCCGACCCGUUUCCAUGAGGGCAAUAAAAUCAAUUUGCUCCUCUGUAACCAUAUUUUCCAAAUACCCAUGUUUAGCCAAGUCUCCAAGACCUCCGAUAUUCCAGAAGACCCCUUUCAUUUAAAACUUAGCUUAGAUGGUGUUAUUGGUUUUUUGGAAGUUGAUCCCCCUUUGUUCAUUUUUCUAGAAUUGGAUUUUUUUUCCUUCGGGGUGUCGCAACUAAAUCACUACAAAUGUGAUCAUAGACUUCCUCAAGCAUAUCCUCGUCCAGGUUAAUCUUAGGGGAGGUUGACUUGUUGUUGCUAUUACAUUUUGCUGAGACGUUAAACCUAUCAAUUUCUAUAUUUUUGAUAGAUGUAAUAGAGGAUAAAAUAACACUAUCAUCUCUACCCAAAGAAACACCUACGUUGGCAAUUCUAGUUGCAAUGGUAGAAUCUGAAAUAGACGGAAAAGACAAGCAAUUACCUGGCUCAAGUGAAUUCUUCUUGGCCGCCAAGUUCAUUGCCUUCUCCAGUAUCUUUGCAUCCCCCAUUGCCGCAGCUCGCUUGCUUGACAUUUUCUCCACUUCACAGCGUUCAUGUGGUGCUGCUAGCAUGAUCUCCUCUAUUGCCGCAGCUCGCUUGCUUGACAUAUCAGAUUUGAUGUUCUACAGUUUGUUUCCUUUGGUGGGAUUUUUUUUUUUUUUGAUAAAGGUCUUUGGUGGGAUUGAUAUGAGCAUGUGAGAUGGAACUGACAUAGCACUUGGGAGUGAUAUUUUUAUCAGACACUAUUCAAUUGGCAAGGGACUCAUGUGAUAUCCUGAAUCCGUUAUUAGGUUGUAAGAAGUAUACUGAUUAUCAAGCUUAUGCUAUCUCACAUGGCUAGCUUGAGAAACUUGCAUAAGUAUCAGUUCCCUUGAUCUUCUACCCAAAUGUGCUAGUAUGAUCACAGGACAUGCAACAUAAAGUCAUGAACAGUAACUUAAUUACUGAUUUAUGAUAUCUUACCGCUCCCUCUGGUAAAAGCUGAUAUUUCAGACAACAAUUGUGACAUAAAUGCUAGUCUAUUAUCUUGUCGAAAAUGUCAACUUUGAAUGGAGGUGGUACAAUAUUAUUAAUUGUUCAAAACAUUGUUAUUUUAUUAUCUUUUGAGGGAAUUUUAUUAUUACUAAACCUGAAUUUGGUAAUUGGAGUUGCCACAAUCCUUAUGUACACUCACAUACCAAUCCCUACCACAAUCCUUAUGUACACUCACAUAUCAAUCCCUACCAUCACAUAUGAAUCCAAUUUUAAACUGCCAAGUCUAACUCAACUUGGGAGUGUGUUUACAUGGUCAAGUGAGUUAUCAUAAAAGAAAUUAUUGAUUUUAUACAUCAUUCCAUGGGUCAGGGCUAGGUGGAUGUUAUUUUCUAUAUUCAGUCAUUGUCUCCAAGCUCUUCAUAGUUCCUACUAAGAAAUUAUUGAUAUUAUAUAUACCAUAAUAUGCCACGAGUCAGGGCUAGGUAUUCAGUCACUAUCUCCAAGUUCUAUGUACUAACUCAUGGAUAUCAUGACUUGUGUGUGCAGAGUGUGGCCUACGAUAGAUCUAGUGCUCCAAAGGAUUUCCAGGUCCGUGGACAGUACCAAGUAUCACAAGAGGAUUCAGACAAGGAUUCAAAUGCGAUGGCUACUUUAGGGGAGUUCUCUUAUAACCUUGACAACAGCAAUGCCCAGACCUUCCAACUAGAGAGAAGCGCCAAUCCACAAGCUGUCAACAUGGUUCGGUUUGAAUUCUCCUCAAACCACGGGAACUCGGAACUUACAUGCAUCUAUCGCUUCAGGGUGCAUGGUACAGAGCCUGGCACCCUCAGCAUUGCAGCAUGAUGCCCUGAUGGCCUGCUCUGUGAGUUGCAUGCAGGGCUUCACAAGAUUCCCACAGCUCAUUUGCCAGUGUGAGCAUGGUUUAGCAUUUAGUCAGCACUUCAGGCCCUAUCAGACAGUUCUAGGACAGGUGGGAGAGUGAAUGCCAGAGCAUGGCGCAAGGGAAGGUUGAGCUCAUUACAAGGGUCUGGCACUGCACCUGUAAACCUGUAUUGCUAAGGUUGAUUUCAGUAGUCUUUAGCAGAUUGUCAUGAACAGGUCCUGACGUUUUGUACCUAGCUAGAUUUCUUAUUCUAUUAUUUAUGACUCCGAUCGCUACACUGUUCCUAGUUUGGUUUCCAAUAUGCUUGUUUGCAACUCCGGUUGCUCCAUGCUACGAUUGAAUUGUAACAAUUAGAAAAACUGUAAUGCACGUGGAGUUAAGGUGUCCGACACGUACAUCUGCAUGGUCGUAAGUUUUUGCAUGAACAGGGAUCCCACUGUUUUAAUAAUUUUUUUUAGGAAAUUGAGUACAAGCAGGUCGCCAUGACUAGGGUGUGAUGCGCUCACGUGGAUCCGAAAGCUUUGUUGUUCCUGCUGUUGUGAAUCAAUGACACUUGUCAUGUUUGGCAAAUCGGUACUUAAGUCAACAUGCAUAAGCAACACUGAAUAUAAUUUCCUUCCUUACAACCCUUUCAAACUAUCUCAAAAGGAUUACCCAGCUAACCCAACUAGGAGGAGCCUAUCCAAAAUUUCUCUUAGCACAAGCUUAUAAAAGUCUUAAAAAGCUUAUACAACUUAACUGACAAAAAUAAACAGAAUAUUCAUGGUAAAUGACCCAUUAGCGGAUCAAUCACGAGAAAUGUAUACCAGCUUUGUUGAAGAGAGACAGCAAGUUAGAGAAAUCUUCUUGACCCAGCUUGGAGCCUCUCUUUUCUGCAAAAUCACCCUGUUGCAAUAUACCCAUGAUCUUUUCUUUAAAGCUUGCAGCACCACCUCCCACCAUGUCUGCAUCAUCCAUUUCCAUCUCAUCAUCUUCCUUCUCAUCGCCAGUCUCCAUGCUCAGAUCUUCAACCAUAUUAGCUAGCAAUGCAACGUCGUCUGCAGACAUCUUCUCCUCGCCCAUCUCUGCAUCUUGAGUAAGUUGGAGAGACUGCAUGGUCUUGUAGUUCUUCUCUAGCAACUCAAGGACACGUUUCUGCUUGAAGAUGGAGCCCAAGGUCUUGUUCUUCCUGUUGAAACAAAUCCUCACAAGCCCAUCCCACUCCUUGAAGCUGACAGAAGGGAGGGGCUUCGUGGGCUCGAUACGCACAACUGAUGAAUCAACCUUGGGUGGAGGCCUGAAGUUGUUCCUUGGAACCCUCAGAAGAUGUGACACUCGAGACAAGAGCUGCACGUUCACGGAGAGACGACAGUAGAGACUGUCCCCAGGCUGCGCCACAAGUCUCAUGGCAAAUUCCCGUUGAAACAUGAUCACAGCACACCUAAAGAUUGGACGGUGUGACAGAAGCUUGAACGUCAGGGGAGAUGAGAUCUGGUACGGGAUGUUUGCCACACAUAUAUCAAAGUACGGGAGAUCACAUUUGAGGACAUCUCCUUGGAUAACCUGCAUCAUGAGUCAAUUUAUUGUAUCAGGAAUUUAGGAUUCUAUAUAUGUUCAUAUCAAAACUACUGUGCGAGAGAAUGCAAAACAAGAUAAGAAAUACAUAUAGCUAAUUGGGUUAAAGCCCAACAGUUAUUGUUGUUCAAUUUGCCAUCACAAUCCAGUUGGCCCUCAGAGAGAAUUCACGCUAUAGAACCUAGGAACUAAGGGCCUGUUUGGCAAAGCUCCAUGCAGCUCUAGAUCCUCAAAAACAGCAGCUCCACCACAGAGCAGCUUCAGCGUGGAUCUAUGCUCUCACCGUGGAGCUGAGGAAAGGUGUUUGGCUGAGACAACAGCUCCAGAUCCAGAAACAGAGUUUUUGGUUGGAUUGCCAACUAAUGCCCUUGGUGUUUUCCCAUUUUUUUUUCUCAUUUUUUUUCUCUUCACAUGGUGUUUUCCCAGAAACAGAGAUUUUCACUGUACCUGGUGUUUUCUCAAUAUAACUUUGUUCCAAGCAACAUAAUUUAACCAUUGUUGUCACAUGACAUAAAAUUAACCUUGUUCAGACAUAAAUUAAUUGUCCAUACAUAGAAAAUAAAUUUGAAAAUUUACUACUCCAUUACAUUCUACCUCUAAGCAAGAGCAAGAUUGGUGGCUAGCUCAUCGCGAAAAAUAUUCAUUGUAGUCACGCCCUGCACAAGAGUUGCCCUAUCGGAUCACAAAACUUGGAAUUUACUCCAGGUCUGUAACAAUAACAAUAUACUCAAGUUUGGAGCUAAGCAUCAACUCUGAAACUGAAAAGUUCAUUUUGUGAUUUACACAUUGCAACGCUAGAAAGAGCAUAC